rnacentral:lncRNA from 1 species
GUAUAUGUAAUAUGUUACUAUAUAAGCAAUGUGGCGUAUUAUAUAUUAAAUUUUUGUAAGAUAACCGAGUUGUAAACGUGGUGUAGUGGACACUAAUGUGGUUUGAUUCAAUUUAUCUAGAGUUUGAAAAGUGUUACGUUAAUUUUUUUAUUUUAUUUAAUAUUUCUUUUGUUUUUAGUGGAUGGUAGACUUGUAAAUAAGUCUUCUUCUUCAUCAGUUUCGUGAAACAGAAGAAGAUAGACGAUGCAGGAACAAGAUUCAACUUUAUUUUGUUUGGAACUCUCAAUCCCCUUUGGAUUUUGUCUCCACCUCUCACUUCUUCUCUUGAUUUCGUGACAAAUGCUUUGAUUAGGAUUCAGACCAAAGGAUCUUGGGCUUAAUUGCGUAAAACGUUUUGGAUCUAGGCGCCCGCGUUUCACAAAUACCCUGGAUAGGCGGAAACAAUUCGUCUUACCGCACAGAGCACCCGAUCAGACCUUUUUCGCCACGGCCAUGCUCCGCUUACCGUAUACGCGUCCGAGUAAUCGUCAACUCGCCCGCGUUUUCGAACACGGAUUACACCAUUCAAGAAGGACACUAAAAUAUUCAGAAUAAUUAUCUAUCAUCUUCGGAUACACUAGCAAGCAUCAGAUCAUGCAAAUCAAGUUAAAAAAUCAAUUAUAUAUGAUUUGGUAAAACAUUAGCAUAAACAUUAUACUAUUUAUUAUCCAAUCAACAAUUUUUAGAUUAGCAUUUAAAAAACAUUUACAAAAUGCUAAUGCUCUCUCCUCAAUGCUCUCAAAUGAAGCUUUUAGCAGAGCAUUUACAAAUAAAAUAGAUAGAAAAAUAAAAAAAGUAAUUACAUAUAAUUAAUUUAUUUUAUCAAAUAAUAUCCAAAAAUUAUGUUUAUAUCGAAAAAAAUAAAUUUAUAAUUUUAAAAAUAAAAUUUUCUAUUAAAAUGUAUUUAAUUUUUUUGAAAUAAUAAUAUUUUACAUUUAAAAUAUAAUAUCAUUUAUAUAAUUAUAUAUGAUUCACAAUCUAUAGUAACAAAACAUAGAACAACAUAUAUUUAUAUAUUAUCAAUAUCUAUAAUAUUAAUUUAGAAAUAAAAAAAUUAUAUACCAUAUAUUAAUUUUUAUGAUAAUUUUAUAUAUGAAUCAUUUACUGCUCUACCAAUCAUUUUAUUAAAUAUAUAAAUGAAAGCAUACUGCUUAUAUAUCAUACUACUAAUGAUUUAUCAUCACUUGCACCAAUCAAGGCCUAUGUGAAUAUUUUUGAUAUAUUUCUCCAACGGCCAUCUUUCCAUGAACCAGCAACAAAGCUUGGAAUCUCUUGAUCAUCUUGUGAUCUUAGAUCUGGUGGAUUUUAAUCUUAUAUCGCAAUGAAAUUACCCCUAAACAUAGUUUUUCGAUAAAUUGUUUUUAGAUGAUUCUUUGCAAUGCUCGCUUUAUUAAAUAUUUCAGAAAUUUCAAUUCAAGAACACAAUAGUGUAAUGCUCUCUAUAUUGUAUAUUUCUGAAAUUUUGAUCCAAGAACACAAUAAUGCAAUGAUUUCUUUGGGUAAUUCUUUGUAAUGUUCUCUUUGAAUGAUUCUUUGAUUUAAGAACUUAUGUCGAUUAUAAAGGAAAAAAACUGGUUUUUUAUUCUUUAAAUAUUUUCAAUCAGCAUAUUUAAUAUUCAAAUUAUUCAGCUUAUUUAUUUUUGGACUAAACGUUGACUAUACAAAAUUAAGAUAAAAUAGUCCACAAUUAAAAAGAAGGAAACUAUUAAAUUAUUUUCGUUUAUUAAUGGUUGACUGUUUUGUUUCUAUAUAUGUGCGGUCAACAGUUAAUUGAAAAAAAAUUACAGAAGUAAUACUUGAAUAUUAAAGAUUUUUUUUUUUGAUAAACAAAUACUUGAAUAUUAAAGAUGCAUAUUCCAAAUACUAGGAAUUAAAAGCUCAUUUUGUCCAUAAACUGCAUGUAUACGUACGUCUUUGUAUCAUAUAUUGCAUCGAAUGUAGAAUUUAACCAAGUCUUAUUAGAUGGAAGUCAUUAAGUAGCCAUCGAAACCUAAUACUAAUAACGCUUUGGUAUAAUAAAUAGUUUAAGAAGUACAAUUUUGAAUUAACCCUAUUUGUUUUUUAAUAUUUACCUCUGUUCGAAAAACGCGCCCGUGGAACCCGAUUACGCAGCGCCGAUACGCUCGUCGGAGGUCCACCGUGGCGAUUUCAUCAUCCUCGGCCAAGAAAUCGGAUUGAUCAAAAAAUUCAUUCUUUUUAAAGUUUUAGGUGUUUAAAUCGCAUGCUGGAAAGUAGAUCUAUGAGUUUGAUGCAUAAACAACAAGAAAAGCUUAUAAAAUUUGUGGUUUUUGACAAAUCUUUGUUGAAGGCGACGAAAAUAGUUUUGCAGAAAACCUAAAUAAAACGCAAGGAAAAUAUGACUUUAUUACAAUUAUGCCAUUCACAUAAAAAACGCACAAAAAUAUCCAAAAAGUACCUUAUGGGCUUCAAUCACCGGUACAAAUAAACUAACACCUGUCCAUUUACCAUGGGGUUACAUUACUUUUACUUGUUUCUUUCCCUAACUUCACAUAUAUAUAGCUAUAUGUAUUUAAAUUUUAAAAUAAUAAUUAAAAUUACUCCCCGCGUAUACCUCGCUUAAUCUCUGAUUUUUCGAUAACUUGCUAGAUCCGGAAUUACCGUCCGACUAACGCCUAGCGUAGUUUUAAACAGGAAAUUUACAGCCGAAUGUCAUUGACAAUAACAAUGCUCCUUCAAUCAAUCAUUAAAAUCCAUUUCGUAUUUAAGUUUGUGGCCAGAAUUUUCUUCAUCUACAUAAAAAGGUAAUGAUUAUUAAUUUCACCAGUUCUGCAUAUGUAAUCACACGAAAUAUAAAAACAUAAAAUUGAAACCAAACUGAAUUCAUUUGCGAUUACAUUCUAAUGUACUAUAUAACGAACCAUGUCAAAUAAUUAAUUUGUUUUCAGUUUUAUGUAUAGUAAUAAUAUUUACAUAUAAUUAUUAACCAAACCAAGUCAAGUGUUAUAUAUUAAUUGUUUGGGAAAAUAAAAAAUCUCCACAUGAUCUUAAUUAGCUCAACUAAAAAUCAUUUUGUCUAACAAAAUACUAAAUUAACUAUAUUUUUCUUAAAAUAAAUCGUUAGAUUGAUACAUGCGGACUGUUAGUAAUAUGUAUAGUAAUAGUAUUUACAUAUAACUAUUAACAAAACCAAGUCAAGUGUUACAUAUUAACCAAACCAAACAAUUGUUUGGAUAAAUAAAAAAAUCUACACACAAUCUUAAUUAGCUCAACCAAAAAUCAUUUUUUCUAACAAAAUACUAAAUUAACUAUAUUUUUUCAAAAAUAAAUCGUUAGGUAGAUACAUGCGGAAUGUUAGUAAUAUAUUGGAUUGAAGAUAUAUGAAUGCUUAAUCAGCUCCAAAGAAUAUUGCAAUGUCAAACACUUUACCUCUAACUUAGCUUAACACCACCCUAAUUUUUGGCUGUCACAUAAAACAAAAAGACUUCGAUCUAUAACAUAUAUAAUCUAGAUUAACAACCAUAAUAUUUAUUUCAUAUAUACUAUCACAUAAAUGGAAAAGAAAUUAGCUUUCUUUUAAAGAAAUUAUAUUAGCUUUAAAAACUUUAUACAACAUUCCUAUUUAUAAGGAAGAUAAUCGUUUAAUAGGAUACAAAAUAAAUAUUCUAUCGAUUAAACCAAUCAUAAUCAAUUUUGUAAAGUAUUUAUUCAAAUCUAAAAAUUCUAAGCUUAACUAACCAAAUAUGAGAUAUUUUAAAAAUUGUCAGAAUCGGUAAUUUAUUGUAUAUAUUCUAUUAAAAUUGAAGUACAAAAUAAUAUUUAUAUAUUUGUAAUUGAUUUUUUCAAUCUUCUUCCUUCAUUUUAACUAAUUUAAACCAAUUUAUUUAUUGUAUUUUCCAAAUAAUUCUACUUCAUUUAUAUUUAUUAUAGAGUACAAAAUAGAACUUACAUACUCUUAAGUGUUUUUAUUACAUCUUUUGCAACUCUUCUUUGUCACUCUUCCUAAUUACUUCAUCAACUAUAUUAAGCAUAAUAAUUUGACAACACUUAUUUUAAUUUUUACCAAAAUAAUUUCACAAGUUUGAAUGAAAUUGAUUAAUUCAUGACAAGAAUUCAAUCGAUUAAUAAUUUUUUUAUUUGUAUAAAGAAUCAGUUAGACAUGAGCAUUCAGGUAACUGUUCGGGUACAGAUCGGUUUUUGAGUAUCAGAUUUUAGGGUUUAAAAUUAAAUUUUGUUUGGAUAUUAUAAAUUUUUGGACGAAGUUCGGAAUCGGAUCAUUUUGGAUUAUGAUAGACUUGUAAGGACCUAAAAAUAUCUAAAUAACCUAUGUAUUUAUAAUGUCAUUAUAUAAUUUAUAAAAAAGUAAAAACUUAACAUCAACACAGACGUGCAGGUCAAGCUCUAGUUUUGUUUUAAUUAAAAAAAGACAAUACCUAGGUUAAGGUGUAGUUUUGUUUUAAUUAAAAAAAGACAAUACCUAGGUUAAGGUGUUUGGGUAUUUGUGUAAAUCUUUGUGAAAUGAUUAUUAAACAUGUACCUGAUUUAAUACCCAAAAUAUAUCAAAGUAUUAAUAAUUUUCAAAUAGAAGUUAAAAAUAUCUAAAAUUCUUAGAAAAAUCUUAAAAUUUUAAUUUAAUUUUAAUUUAAUUUUAAAUUUUAGAAAAAGUAAGUAAAGUGUGAUAAUCUUAAAUUGUGUAAUAAAAGUUUAUUGUAAAAUUUUAGUUUGAAAAUGUAUAGAUUGAUAGAUAUGAACUUAAUAUAUUUUUCAAUACAUAAAUUUAUAUGAAAACAAUGAUCGUAUUUAUUUUAUAAAACAAUAAUAAUUAUUAAACAUAAAAGUUGGGUUAGAGAAUUUAUAUCAAAAUGGACUAAUAACUGAAUUUUUUUGGUUAACUACUAAUUGAAUUCUAAAAAGAUCAAAAAGUCAUUCUUAAUAUUUUGGGCCAAGAAAAUUAAAAAGACUGCCAUUUGUUAUUAUUCUGUUAGGUUUUUAAACUCUCUAGGAAGAUAAAGAUUAAUCGUUUAUGUUUUUUGUUAGCAUAAGUUUAGGAAAUAUUUUGGUUGUUUUAGUUAAUAUUAUUAGCAUGCCAAUCGUUUGUCACAUUCCCUUUAUUCAUGAAUAUAUUCUAAAUUUUAAUAAUACGGAAUUUGUUAAUUCUAAAUUUUAAUACAUCUACUCUACUAAUUAAUACAUCUGCAAUAUUUCGUAUAUAUAUACUUCAAUGUUUUAUAACAUGUGUCAAUGAUAAAUAUGGAUGGAUUCUAUCAUCCACAUAUAUAUUGUCCAUUACUGAAAAAUGCAUGAUGAUGAUGUAUGCAGGGCCGUCUCAAACUUUACGGAGACCCUGUUCAAAAAAAAAUAAGACCCUUUAUAAUAAUCUAAAAUAAUUUAUGUUUUUUCUGACAGAAUAUUGUAAUAUAUAAUAAAUACACCAAUCUAAUUUAAUUGGAAGAAGCAUUUUUUUCUUUUAUAAUUGAAAACUUAUGAAAAGCAUCUUUUCGGGACUAUGAAUUUUUCAGUUUUUUUUUCUUUUGAUUCUUUUUGUAUCUACAGUUAAGAGUUAUAAUCUAUAAAAAAACACAAACAAAACAAUAGAAUCUUGAUAGUGGUUAGAAAAAAAACCGUGGACUCUUGAUUUGAUUAAACAAGAAAUUGGAGACUCCUCAGUUUUAUUCUUUGAUAGAUGCUUAGACUAAUGUUUCUUUUUUGUGUUUACUAUUUUUUGUAAAAGUUGCUGAAAAAUUAUAUAUUUCCCUCUUUAUUUACAAUCACUAAUUAAUAUAGUUUCCUAAAUAUAAUCAAAUUAGAAUAUUAACUUUCUAAAUUUACAUUGAAUAAUAAAUCAAACACCAACAGCUAUUUUUUACUUUCCAAAAUAUAUAAUUGAUAUAAUGUUAAUUUCUUCCUGACUUAUUGCAUUUUUGUUGGUUAUGUAAACAAAAUCAAAUUUGUAAUUUACAUAUAUUGUUUAAUAAAUAUGAAAAUUAAAUUAAAUAUAGUUAUCUGAUUUUUAAUAAAUACAUGAUUUUAAAUUUAUAGCUAUUACUAAAAAAAAAUUAUGAGUCCUCUAAAAUUUUGGACCAUGUUCGACCGCUCCACUUGCACGUGCUAAAAGACGGCCCUGGAUGUAUGUGUAGAUUUGUUUUAUUAGUGUAUUGUAAAGAAUAAUAAAUAAGAGUCCAAGAUUCAAAUGCAAAAGUAAUUGACAUAAUUUUAUUUGGACAGUCGAAGAUUCAAAUACAAAGUUAGAGUUAUGAAUAAUCCAAACUCGUAUUAAUGUUUUCACGUAGGAGAAGUAUUGUUAUCAUUGUAUAACCGUGAAUAGACUUUAUUUGUAGAAGGAGAGUUAUAAUGUACUAGAUACGGACCUUUUUUGAUGUUUUAACUUUACGAAAAACAUAAAAAGAAUGAAAAUAUUUUUCACAUUAGUUUUUAAAUUUUUUUAGUAUAUAUUGGUGUAAGACUUAUUUUAGUAUAAUAAUCAAUUUUCUUACAUAAAUUGUGAUUAGUAUUACUACUUCAGUAAUGGUGUUUUAAAAUAGUCUAUUAAUUUUUUUAUUUUUCUAUAAAUAGUUCACUUUAAAUUAUUUUUAAUAUUAUAGUUAAUUAAAACAUAUAGAAUUGAUGUAAACUAUCUAUAUUAUUUAUAUUGUGUAAGAAAAUUCAAAAAAAAUCAAAAUUAAUGUUAGACGAUACUAAUACUCUCAAAAUUUUGCACAUGAUAUGCUAUCAAUAAAAAGGCCUCACUCAAGCAAAAUAAUGUUGGCUUCAAAUAAUGGUGAGGGUUAAAGGGUAUGAGAGUGCUAUUUGGGUAAACAAAGAUAUAGGUCGCUGCAAAGACCCCCUCUGGUGCUCUUUCUCGCCCAAAUGAUCACUUUCCUACUCCUUUUUUUUUUAUCCCAAAUGCCUCCAAAUACUUCGAAGAACUCCAAUGGAUACUCCCACACCUAAUAAAAACUUAUGCAAUGCAAAAGGGACCUAAAAAAUGCCUCAAUUCUAUUCUAAAUGAUCAAAAUGUAUAGGAAUGAAUGAUCAAAACAAUGUAAAUAUGCAAGAUAUUAGACACCAAUCAAUAUGCAUUAUUGAUAUUCAGCUAAAUAUCAAAUAUAUUGCUUGAUAACCAUCAAAUUUGUUUCCCGCUAUACCCUACCUUAGCAUCAAUAGUGUGACUAUAACCUCUUUCUAUAUAUCAUAUAUUUCUGAAUUUUUUUUGAUAUACAAUAUUUUGUAGAACACUAUUGUCGAUAUGUUUUGUGUCUACUUUAAAAAUUCUGAAUUCAUGCAGUUGUUGUGACUCUUUGAUAGUGAAGUGUACAAUUGUCCAUGAGAGAUCAUCUUGCAUCUGUUGAUGUGAGACUUGUUUUAGGAAUAAGAAUCUGUUGAUUAUUGAUCUCGGUUAGGAUUUUUCUGCUUCAGUAAUCAUGUUGUCUAGGCUAGUUAUUAGUUAAAUUUUUACAUUGCAAAUUUCUUUUCGAUGAUUUAAAUUCCUUAAUAACAUGACUGAAACAUCUAUUUUGAGAUCAAGUUCGUGAUUUGGAAUCCCUGAAAAAAUUAACAUAUUUAAAAAUCUGUGGGAUAUAGAAUAUGCUGAUUUAUAACUUCUUCUUUGUUGUUACCAAUACUAUCAGAACUCAAAUGUUCCUUUUGCUCACCGUCUAAGCACUUUAACAUAUAGUUAUCUAUUUUACCAACCCUUUCAUUCCUUAUUCUUUGGUGUAAGCAUUGCUUUUUUGAUGAGAUAAUUCUUGUCUUCAAAAGUAAAUUUGGAAAUCUUGAUAUAUAGACAUUGUAAUGCAUUCAAAAGGAGCUGCAUUCUUUUGCAAGAGCAAUUUGUUGUCUAUCAAAGAAGGUAAAUCAUGUGAACAUCAGUUUAGAUGUGAAAGGACAUGCAGAAAAUCUCACCUAAAUAGAAAAGUCGAUUAUUCAUAAUAAAUUAACAUUAACUUAACUACAACAAUAUAACGAAUUUAUAUUGUCGAUAAGAACAAACACAUAUAAGCAUAAUAGUCACAUUAACUUUUGUACAGCAGAAUAACUGCAUAACAUCUAUUUGACUAUAUGUACAAACGCCAAAGUGUAAUUGUGGCAAUAACUAACGUACAUCAUCAUUACAAUUAUGACAAAAAAAUCAACAUCAGUUUAAGAAGAAAAAAAAACAUGUGAAGAUCAGGAAACCUAGUUAUUUCAAUCAUAUGUUACAAUGCUAAAAAAAAAAUCAUCCUUUGUCGUUCACAUGGAUGCAGAGUUACCGAUCUGGUUUACAGAGUCAACAUGAGUUUGUAAAUUCUUUGCUGUCAAAAAAAAAUCAUAGUUUACAAUUAUUUUUUCUUUAGGAUUUUAGAAAAGGGAAAUUAAUAUUAAAUAAAUUAUUUUAUAAAUAUUUUUUUGUUUAGGAUUAACAAAAAGGAAAAUUUCUAGAAACAGCUACUAUUAAAUAAUUUUUGAAAUUAAUACUUACUAUUAAAUCAUUUUUAAAAUUCGUUUUUAUUAUCUUAGCAUAUAUAUAUUUAAUCAUGAGAGAUUUUAACACAUGUCGAUAUAUUAAAAGGAAACCCACUAUCACAUAAUUAUCUGCUUAAGAUUUUUAAAAAGAAAAAAUAUUAUUAAAUAAUAUUUACAUUUACUUUUUUACAAAUUUUUUUUUUUGUUAUUAUCUAAUUAUAUAUAUUUUUAAUUAGGAGAUAGUUUAACACAUAUCAUAAUUUUGAAUAUAUAUUUGCUACAUGUCACAAUCGUGUUAAUUAACAACUUUGAAAACCAAACUUUAUAUAAUAAGAUAACCAAAAUAUAAGGAAUGAUAAUUAUCUCUUAUUUCUCACGUUAGGUCCAAAUUUAAAUAAUAACUAAAUAAAAAGUAUGAUUCUAAAUUAAUAGAUUAGAUUAAGUGGAUGAAGUUGAAUGGGAAAAGAUCUGACUGUUUGCUCCAAGAAGGAAUGUAUGUACAUUCAUUUAACACACAAUAACUGCAAAUAGAGAUCAUAACAUUGAUAUGUUCCAUUUGUUGUUCAUUCAUCGAACAGGCUUUGUGUCGAAGCUGCUUAAACAAAUGGCAAAAGCUUGGAAUGCGGAGAUCGGGUAACGAUAAUCCAUGGUGAAUGUAUCUUUCCCUAUCUUCCCAAACUGCAGUAUCACUCUCUCUUGUUCCUCUUCAGGGAUGUUCAUGUCCUUCCCUGCUUCUGCAGCAGCAGCCAUUAGCUGGAAGUUUUUCACGGAGGCAACCGUGACUCGUCCUUUGAAGUUAAGACACCAGCACUGAAGCUGCUCGUGCCAUCUGGGCAACUUGUUUUUCAGGACUAAUGGUUCCUUCACGACGGAUUCUCCUCCCAAGUUCCCUGACCAGAAAUCAAUCAGCCCUCUCUUCUUCUUGCUUCCUAGGUUUGACAACUCGGUCGGAGUAUGAAUCUGUCCCCCUUCUUGAAUAGAAGAAACUGGGAUAGUGUUCAUGAUACAUUGCAUUCUUCUUGGACCUCUGGUUCUAAGGACAUUCAGCUCAUACAAGAUCGAAGCCAUGCUGUAACUGUGAGUAGAUGAAGUUACCCAUGGAGACACACGCAUCGUCUGUGAUAGUUUCUUGUUAAAUGAUCUUCGGGAAUCAACCGGAGAAGGUUGGUUUUCGUAAACCGUGAACUUAGUUCCAAGGAAAUUCGAUCUAUCCACCCAACAACAAGAAGGAAAGUUAUAAAUGUCAUGGCGAUAUUAAACGAUCAAAGAUGACAAAUAAGGUACCUUAGUUUCCCAAUAUAGUUACUGCUACUUCUUGAGAAGUCCUUUCCAGACAAAGAUACAAUAAACUCAACACCAGUCGCCCUCCUUACCCUCUUAGCCGAUAGCAAGAGCUUACUCUUGUCCCCGGUAAGCGCUGAAACCAUACAGACAUUAAGAUGACAACACAUAGUCCCAAGACUCACAAGAAGUAAGAGAAGUUAAAACUACCAGGGCUUAAACCAAGAUAGAGACGGUAUAUCCCAGUGGCUCUCUCCCGUUUGAUAAAGCAUUGAAUCGGAUCAUCUCUAGGGCCAGGCUGAGACAAGAACCCCCAAUGUCUUUUAGCUCAUCACUUCCAACGAUUACAAGAACGUUCUAGAAAGAGUAUAAACCUGUUUUAAUGAAACUGGAAAAGUGAGGAGACCAGAGAUCUCAGGAACCUUAACAACUUCUUUAGUCAUCUCCCUCCAGGCCUUACAAACCGAGGCGCAAGCAACAACGUCUCUCCUCCCCGGCCAUGAGGUCUGACCAGACUCGAUUCGAUGGAUGAUGUCAAGAAGCAGCUCCGGAGGCAAAUCAACCCAAACGCUCUGAUAUAAACAAUCAUCAGCAGCUGAUGGAGAAGGAGAAGAUCCUUCUGGAGCAAUGUGAGACCUUCCUCGUCUACCAUUGGCUUUGUUGUUACGACCCCUAAGCUCGCGUACUAUGUUCUUCAACGGCAUUUCUACAAUUCAACUUCUCCUACGGACCCCCAAAUCGAUCAAACGAAGCAAAAAAAAAAACCCUAAUUUGUACCUUCAACAAACGAACAAAGAUUAAAUCAUGAAAAGGGCAUUAUCGUGUAAUGAAAACGAGAGAGAGAGAGAGGGGAUGUAUGUACCUAGAGAAGCGACAAAUCCAUGGGGAAUCACGACGAUCGGGGUGAAUUCCGAUUAAGAAAGUCUCGAAUUGAGAAAUUUUAAAACGCUCCUUGAAAGUAAAUAGAGCCGCCACCACCACAACUCCUCCGAUGUUGUUAACCGUCGCCGUCGUUAGGUUUGAAUCCCGACGACGACAAUGAUUUCGAGGAGAAGGGAGAGAGAAAGAGGAGACGGGAAAGUUUCCGUUUUCUUUUUUAUUUAUUUAUUUAAUUAAUAAGAGUAGGCGCGGCCCCAUCUCUCCCUCCUUUCAAUUGAAAUUAGUAAAUUACUCAAAAUAGGUUUUUAUCUCUUUUUUUUAUUUUAUUCUCUUCCAUUUUGGUCAAAUUACUUUCUCACAAGUUUUUGUUUAAGUUAUUAACAUAAAAAGAAACUUUCUGUCUUUUUAUUACACCAUUAGACAGAUUUCACUACUGAGAUAGUUUGUGGAAGUAAAAUGACAACACUAACCCUAACAACACUCACCUUUUGUAGAUUGUGAAAAGCACACUAUCUCUUUUAUUCUUCUUUUAUUUACAGUCAUACUUUUUUUUAUAAAUAAAAUUGUUUUCUUCUUCUUUAUCUCUUUCAUCAUCUUCUUUUCUCUUUUCCUAUGUCGAUAAAGUGGUUAUGGAUCAAAUUAAACUGAUUUGAAACAAAGAAACAAAAAUCUAAGCGUGCAUACACCUCUCAAGUUCUGAUGGUGGAUUUUCUGAAUCAAAGUCUUAAUUCGUUGGUCUAUCUUAUUCUUCUCCAUCUCUACCUUCAUCCUCCACAAGAAUAACCACCAGAGAAAUAUCAUUAAAACGAGAUGUAGCCAUAAGUACAAAUGAAGGCAAAGAGAAAGUGGCUAAGAAACCCGAUGUAUCUCCACCUCCUGUUCAAUCUCCGUCUCAGCCGUAGAGGAAGCUAGAUGAUGUAAAUCCAGAGAGAUUGGAACUAAGUUGACCGCAGCUUGGCGAGGUAAGAUUACAUUUAAUAUAUUUGUUUUCUCCUGCUUAAUACUGAAUUUCAAUUAUAAAGUUGAUCUCUGAUUCCAAAAGAUGCAGCUUGCUUCCUUUAGAUUUGUUUUUUAUUUAUUUAUAUCAACUCAGCUUAUUAUGUAUUACCUUUGAAACUUAGCUUUAGAUGAUUCACAAAGUAUAUAUGAUUUUUGAAUCUAGUAUUUUGAAAUGACUUACAAAGCUAAUUCAGAUCUGUAUGGAUCCUAGAGAAACAUAAGGUUCUGAUUUUAUGUUAUAUUGUUAUAUGAUGUAUUUGUUUUGUUGGAAAUGUUGGUUUGAACGAUGUGUCUUGAUUGAAUUAUCUAUUAUUCUAUUUUUUUGUUCUUGGACGGACAACUCCAUAAUGUGGACAAGUAUUGGCAUGGAGUCAAAGACAAGAAGCUAUUCAUGUGUACGCCGCGUGUAAGUUGUCAAUGUGUACGCCUUGUGUAAAUUGUCCAUGUGGACAUCUCAGUUGUCCAUGUGGACAUCUCAGUUGUCCAUGUGAACGACAUUUGGUGGGAAUGUCUUGUACUAAGUAAUAUUAUUAUAAUUUUUUUGAUUGUGAAAGCCAUGUAUAAGAAAUAUCAGAUGUUGCAUUGUCCGUACAUAUAUUCUUGAACACUUGUUUGGUACCACAAAUGCCAGCUGUGGCGCAUCGACCAAAAAACGGGUACCCAUUGUGUAUGAGAGAUAUACAACAUUGAAGCUGGCUUAGUAAGAAGAUUUGGUAUGUUUUAGAGGAGAAGCAUUGUCCAAGUAAAAUAAACACUCGCAUUUUUUGUUUGCAAGUGUUUUACAUGUACAUGUACUCGUAGGUGUCCACAUGUACGCAUGCACGUUGAUGUACACAUGUAUACUGAUGUUUAGUCUUCAAGACUUGAUUCAAUCAUAUUUAUUUAUGGUGUAAUAGUUGCAAAUAACUUAAUAAAAUACAAAUCUUUCCAUCUGAUUCAUCCAAUUUUCUUUUGAUAUGGAAAGUUUGGUAUCCAAUUCGAUCUAUGUUGCUAAGAAGGAAAAAAAUUGGAGCUUUUACAUACGUAGUGAGGACUUUUUUUUUUGGACAAACCGUAGUGAGGACUCUCUUUGCUUCAUAUAAGUGAAAAAUUGUAAUGAAAGUUUAAGAAGGAUUAUUAUCAAAGAAUUUAUAUUUAUCUUACGUCUCUUUUUUAAACUGAUGUACACGUGGACAGUCAAACAUUGUGUACACAUGGAUAGUCAAAUAUAUAUUUACACGUCGAUGGUAUUUGUCAGUAUAUAUGUAAAACAUUCAAAUGCUUUCAUAUGUGUGUAUUAGAUUACUAAAUGUUAAUAUUCAUUGCAACGGCAAAUCAUUGUCCAUCUUUUACUCUUUUGUACACAUAAAUGUACAUGUAGAUACUGAGAAUUAUGCGUACAUGUGGAAUACUAUUUUGUAACAGUAUAUAUGUUGAUCAGUGAAAACACAUCAAGAGACGUAAGAUAAAUAUAAAAUAUUUGAUAAUAAUCCUUCUUAAAUUUCAAUUACAACUUUUGACUAUCUAUGUGUACACAAUGUUUGACUGUCUACGUGUACAUCAGUUUAAAAAAUGUACAUGUACACUGAUUACAAACCAAACAAUGAUCUGUGUAAUUCACAAAGACGAAUAUGUGCAUUCAAAAAUUACAAAUCUUUACACCUUUAACGAUGACAACCGGAGUCGUUGUUCAGUUCAAUCAUAACCGCUUCAUUGAAAUUAUAAGGAAGCAGCCAUAUGCACAAACCGAGUUCAUCGAAGUUAUCUAUCCAUCACCAGAACGAUGGUUAAAUCCACAGUGGAAGAUGAGACGAGGAUUCCAAACGUUGAUGUUGAUGAUUCCAUACAAACUUGAUAUCUCAUAAUCAUACCUCACAUUUACCUUCGUCAUCCUUGUCGUCGCCGUCUUCAUCAUCAACUCUGUCAUCCUCUAUUUCCUCAUCUUAUUCUUCUACUGGUUCUAUAUGAGGCCGACUAAGGGUUGUAAAAUCGAACUCCAUCGUCACGUGUUUUUCAUCUUUAUCAUAAUCUUCAUCUUCUUCUCCACAUGAUUUGUUUUACAGAAAAAAAAUUGUACGAGAAAGACAAGAAAAGAAUUUAAGAGAUAAGGAAAGAGAAAGAGAAAGAGAAAAAGAGAUUGAUUUAUGGCCACAUAAUUCUUUUUUUUGGUAUUUUUGUUAGAUUUAAAAGAAAAAUAAUGAGAAAGGGUAAUAAUGAAUUUUCAUACGCUGAAAAGAGGAGAGAAGGUGUUGAAAUGAGAGAAAAAGUGUGUAGGUAGUUGAAACUGUCCUAGAGUGAAAUAAUAAACUCAAAAACUGCCUUCUAGUGUAAAUCUUUCUUUUUGUUUUUGUAUUUUAUUCUUCCAACAAGAAAAUACUUUAAAGCAAAUCUCCUAAGAAAAACACCGAAAACCUUUUUUGACCAAAAAGACGCAAAAGGAAAAUGAUUUUAAAUAAAUUUAUUAAAGAGGUAAAUGACAAGUAUACCAUUACUUUAUAUACGGUAAAACUCUAUAAAUUAAUAAUGUUAAGACAAGGAUAUUUUAUUAAUUUAUAUAAUUAUUAAUAUAAAAUAAAUUUUAUUGUAUUAUUUGGUGUACAUAAAAUAUGUUUCAUAUAAUUGAAGUGUUUUUCAAGAUGUAAUUUUACUAAAUGUUAUCAGAAUAUAUUAAAAAUGUUAAGAAAACAUAGAUAAAUUCUAUUGCUGAUAUAAAAUAAACAAUAUAUUAAUGUGUUUAUUAAUUUACUGAGUAUUAAUUUAUAUAGUUUCUACUGUAUAUAAAUAUAAAUAAAUAAUAAAAUAUUAUUUCCCAAAAGAAAUUUAUUCAAUAUUCAAAAACCUUUUUCAAACACAAAUUUCAAAUUUUCUUCUUUUUUCCAAAUUUUAUAUCGAAAUGUGAAAAUUCUUUAUUGAAAAUUUAAAAUUAUUAUUUAAAAUUUUAAAUCUUAAACUUUAAAUCCUAAACCCUAUCCCCAAACAUUACCCCUAAAUUUAAACCCUAAGUUUAGAUUAUUUAACCAUAAGGGUAAACUUAUCUAUUACUUCUUUAAUAAAAUAUUUGAUUAUUUUGAUCCUUGUAAGCUAUUUUGUGAUUAAAAAAUUAAUGCUAUCAUAUGGUUUAUCUAUUGGCCAUAUUAAAAGAGUAUUUUUAUUAUAAGAAAUUGAGAAAUACUCUAUGAUAAAUAUACAAAACUUUAUCACAAAAAUAGUUCUAAAAGUCAAAAUGAUCAAAAUAUGUUUUAUUAACGAGAUAAAAGAUAUUUUUACUGUUACAGUUAACUAAGUUUUUUAACACUGGUUAGUUAUGCUAUUACAAACUAUGAAAAACAUUACAUAUACGAUAUUACAGCCGACAAUUAUGUUUGUCUUAUGAGGAUUCAUGUCUGACUACAUCACCUAGAGUCGCCCUAUGAGAUCCAUUCCUGAUGGUACUCUUUGCGCCAUGUCGAAGAUCUCUUAUAAGCUUUUUCUCUAAUAUUCUGCAUAAUUUGCCUUCUACAGAAAUUGAAACUCAGAUCUCCUGAUUUAAAAACAUUAAUGAACCUUUAGUUAAACCACUGGUUCAAAGGGGCUUACGGUCAACUAAUCUAGACUAGGUUUUAGUUAGGGAGAUAGGUUUAUAGUGUUUAUAAAUUUAAAAUAAUAAUUUUUUUAAAAAAUAGGAAAAAAGUUAGGAAAAAAAUAAUCAUAGAGAACUGAUGUGUGGCGUCUAGAACGUGCACCUUGAAAACCAGCCCUUCAAAAAAUUUCAAUAAAAUCCAUGAGUCCUUCCUUUGCCUUGCAACAUCUUCUUCCACAGGUCAAUAGUUGAAACUCUUUCCGGAUGAACGUUGAAUAAUGCUUGAGAAACUAGGUUUACACAUCGGGAAAAUGUCGAUGGAAUUCUCUAUGAGCCUUGAGAACCAAGUCAAAGCCGGUCCGUUAAGAAUUUCCACGAACAAUUAAUAGUAUACUGCAUCUUUCUCUUCGACGGUAAAGUGUGCUUGUCCCACGGUUAUAUUGGACAUGGUCAUGUGAUCACUAGGAUCAGAUUCGCCUGAGAAAGAGGGAUCUUUAGCAUAUAUGUAGGACGAACUCGGCCAUUUUUUGGCAAGGGUGUCUUCUGUUUUUCUUUGAGGACACGCUCUAGCUCAGGAGCCGAACUCGUUACAGGUGAAAUUUUGACGAGCCAUCCAGUAUUGUGUCCCGAAGAACUUUGAUUUUUUGAAUCGUUGCCUGGUUGGUUUGAUGUGUCUGUUGAUUAAGAUAUUCCAUUAGUUUUUGCGUCAAUGUCAUCGUGGUGGUGACAUCCACAACCGGAAGGAUAGUGCAUGUCCCUCUUCGAUCAUCGUCUCCAGCCAUCUCUGAUAUUUCCUGGCAUUGCUUUGUAAUUCCACUCAAACGACGCCAAUCGUUUCAUCUCUUAACAUCGCCCAAGAAACACUUUCUAUCCUAUUCAUCAUCUCCCGCAACACUCCUCUCUCUCUCUAGCAUCACCUCUACACUCCUCUCUCCGGGCCAGGAUUGCCCAUAUGUCUCCUUACUCCUCAAAGGUGCCCAUACCUCCUCAUAACUCCUCAGCAUCACCCACUUCUCCAUUUGUCGUGUUCUUGCUCGAAUCUUGAUCGUUCUUCGUUUUAUCGCAAUCGUAGUUGUUGUUGAGAUUUUUUUCAAAAAAGUUAAUUUGUUUUUAGUUUUUGUAAAAUCUAGCCAACUGUAGAGUUGGAAACUGUUAUUUUAAACAUCUAAUAUGUUUUAGACAAAAUAAAAUGAUUUUUCUCUUUGUAAACUAACAGCACAAAAAAUGCAAUUCGGAGCAAAACGACGAUAUUUCCAAGAAUAGUCAGCGAAACCUUAAUUCUCAAAACAGUCCAAAACAAUCUAAAGCACGAAACAGAACUUUUCACUUAACGUGUAAAGUAACCAAAUAUUAAUGACAUUUUACUUUACUUAGAGAGGAAUAAAGAAGAAAUUAAGAUAAUGAAAGAUUUUCGAAAGAGAUAAACUCGACUCUCGACAAAGAAAGGAAAAUAUCAGAGGAAAUAUGGAAACAAAGCAGAUGUGGAUCAAUGGCAAUAUGGUCGGCCUUGGAAGAAUAUAUAAACAAGGCUAGGCCAGAGAAAAAGGGGGCAAAAAAUUAGCUCUCGAAAGUCUAUGCACUAAAGAAACCUUAAGUUUUAUUUUUGUCUGUUUGCUAAUGAGCUGCAACCCACCUAGGAUUUCUAGGCUUAUGUGGUUAGUCUAGCGAACUUAGAUAGAUUUCGCUACUUUCGCUUAUUCGACUUCCGUUGUAAUUUUGCUAUCCAGAUCUCCUAGUAUAUAAGCAUUAAUGAUAUGUGAUGUCUAAAACGUGCACCUUGAACAAAAUUUUGGUUUGGGUUUAGUUUGGGUUUCAAGUUCAGGUUUUUUUGCUGAGGCCUAACCCUACCAACAUAAGAGAGUUUAAGUGAGGAAAUUUUAUUUAUCAAUUUUGUUUCCUAAGAUUAUCAUAUAGUUCUUCAGACAAGUGUAGAAAGGGCAGAAGAAAAGUAAAAUUAAUUCAAAUAUACAAUAAGCAUCAACUAACAUCGACUUAGAAACAAAAUUCCACAUUGACUUAGUGAACAUAUGCAUCCCAAUCCUAAAAUUGUAAACUCUAUGUUUCAUACGUUUACGAUUAGAUUAUAGGUCAAAUACAUAAGGACAAUAAUAUUUAUGUAUAAAUAUAAACUAGGUGUUUGCCCGCAAUUUUGCGGAUAGUUAUAUUAUAUAAAGAUAUAUAUCUUAACUUUACACUGUUAUAUUUUUUGAAUAAUAAUUAGAAAUUUAAAAUAUUUGGAUAAUCAAAUAUUUGGAUAAUCAAAAAUUUGGAUAAUCAAAAAUUUCAGUAUAUAUUUUUAGAAAAUAUGUGAAAUUUAAAAUAGUUCAAAAACAUAAACCUUAGUCAUUAAAAUUUUUUCUCUUACAGAAAAGAAUAUUAUAAUUAAUUCAGAUAAUUGGUGGUAAAAUUACUUUAUAUUUUAGUUUAACACAUGAAAAACCGAAAAUACUCUAGCUCUCAAGAGAGAGAAAAAAAAAGAGUGCAUUUUUUGUGUAACUUCAAUAUGACCAAUACAAUGAUCGUAGGCUUUUAUCAUGAAAGAUCUUUUGUAAACAGUUUUGUGUGGGCUUUAAAAACAUAAAAUUUAUAAUAAUUUCUUACCUACAAAUAUAAUUCUUUUAUAUAAUAAUAUAUAACCAUUGAAUUUAUUUUCUAUAAAAAUACUAAAGUAGUUUGUUUAAUUAUAUAUAACUAAUUGAUAAAAAUAAAGAAAUUGAUAUAACAUACAUAUAUAUAUAUAUAUAUAUAUAUAUUCUUUCUCUAAUUCUACAAUUAGUUACCAUAAAUCAUUAUUUGUACUAUCAUUUGUGUUAUUUGGUAAUUUGUACUAAUUAGUUCUAGAGUUACCUUUUAUUUUUAGAUCUGAUUAAAAAAAUAACUAAUAAAUUUUAACAACCAAUCAAAUUAUAACUAUUUUUAAAAAAUAAACCUAUUAAAGACACAUAAUCAAAAGUUUAUUAAAUGACUUCUCAAUUAAUAUAUGGUAGGAUUUAUCUCUUUAAAACCAAGGAUUAAUUUGGUUAAGUUAAACAUAAAAACAUGUAUUAGAAAAUGGUAGUUUAAGCAAUUUUCUCAUAAUUUGUCCCAAAUCACACUUUCUCACUCAUUAUUUUUAAUUUAGUGUUUAACAUAAAACUCACUAUUUUAUCAAACAUUAACUCAUUCAACCAAAUGCUUUUAAUUAAAACUAAUCAUAGUUUACAUAUCUUUUAAAAUUAUUGUUUUAAUUUAUUUUAAAUUAAAUUAAAACAUAUCUAUAUUAAUUAAAUCUAUUAACUAAUAAAAAAAAAUAUUUCAAUUUUUAAAUAACUAAAUGUCGUUAUUUUAGGCAUAUAUACUUAAUAUUAAUGUGAGAUCCAAUAUUAUAUGAAAUAAAAUGUUUUUUAUUUGUAUACAUUUUGUUAAAAUUUUAUUAUCGUACAUUUUAAAAGUUUAUUAUAGUUUAAAAAAUACAUCUCACUAAUAUUUUAAAUAAUUUUUUAUUACUUUCAAUUUACAUUAUAUUUUUCAUCUUUGACUUUAACAAUUGUAGAGAUGGUCAUUUUUAUUGAACUUCCUUAAUAAAUUUAUAUCACAUUGUCUUUAGAAAAUAAUUGGAAUUUUUUUAGAAUUAUAUAUUUGACUGUUUUGCAUUCAUUUGACACAUUUUUAUACUAUAUAUAUAGUGAAUAAGUGAAUUUAAUUAAUAUUAUUAAGUUUAGAUUAAUUAGUUUUCUAAAAUAUAUGAUUUAUUUUAUUCACUGCUAAUAUAAAGAUAAUAAAAACCGUUUUUCUAAUUGUUUCUAUAGUAUCAUAUGUAUUUAUAUGUAUCUUAUCAAUUUAUAUAAUGUAAUCUAGAUAUUUAAUUAUUUCUAUAAAAAAAUUAUGUUAAUUCAUCUAUAUUUAAGAUGCUAAAUUGUAUGUUUGGAAAGAUAGAUUAGAUUAGAUAAUUCUAUGAAUAUUUUCAUUUUAAAAACUUUCAUUAAAUAAAUUAAAAAUUAUCAACCAAUCAAAUUAUAACAAUUAAUCUUAUAUAUUAAAAAAGAAGUCAUGACUUCUUUCAUGUGUGAUUUUUUUUUUUUUUGGACCAUCACUUAGAAAUCUUAUUAAAUGUAUUUUAUUAAGAAUAAUAAUACAUAGAAUCUUUAAAAUACUUUAAUCAUAAUAUCUUUUGAUAUCUUUUUAUUUAAAAUAUAAAUAUAUUUAUUUUAAAAAUCUAACAAAUCUGUUUUAAAAGAUUUUUACAAGAUCUUCAUUUUCGAAAUUAUAUUUAAAUAUUUUUCAUUAAUUUCGAAAUUAGUUUGAAAUAUUAUUAUACAUUAAUAAAUUCACUAAUCAUUUAUAAAAUAAAAAAUAAAAAAUUCUGUAAUAUUUUAUAUAUUAUAUAAUCAUGAUCAAUCAUAUUAAAAGAAAAUUAUUAUAUUGAGCUAAGUAUAAUAAAAUUGUAUUAAAUUUAUAAAUUUUAUUUUCAUAAGUAUAAAAUAUUUAUGUUCAAAAAUAAAAUCUAAUAUGUUGGUAAGAUGGAUUAAGCAAAAUAUAUAAUACAUGUAUAAAAAUUAACAUGUAUUUCUUUAAAGCUUAUAAUAUAAAAUCUUUGUCACUACUUUAAUCAUAAUAUAUUUUCAUUUUAAAUAAAAUAUAUAUUUAUAUAUUAUAUUUAAAAAUUCUAAUAAAUCUGUGUAAAAUUAUUUUAACAAUAAUUUAAUAUAUUUUAAGUUAUCGUUUAUAAAAUAAAAAUAAAUAAAUUAUAUCCUAUUUUACCCACUUUAUAGUCAUGAUCAUGUUAAAAUAUAAUUAUUAUACUUAAAUAAAUAUGAUAAAAGUAAAUUCAAUUGAUAAAUUUAUAAAUUUUAUUUUCAUAAAUAUAAAUUAUUUAUUUUAAAAAUAUAAUAUGAUGAUUGAACGCCUUAAAAUUAACAAACCUUAUAAUACAUGUCUAAAAAUUAACAUAUCUUAGACUUUUGUAUAUACAAUAAUAUAUUAUCUAAAAUGAAUAAGCAUAAAAAAUAUUAGUAAAAAGAAAUACAGCUUUGAAACACGGAUCAGAAUUUAGCAUAAAUUAAAUACAAAAUAAUUUUCAAAUAUGUUUUCUCAUGAAUAUAAUAAUUUGCUUAAUAACUAAAUGCAAAUACAAUAAGAUAAAUAUAUAAUAAGAAGUGAAAAUACAUACGGUUUUAACCAAAUGAUUAAUUAUAACAUGUAAAUUAUAAAAUUAUUAUAUUUGAAAUAGUUAUAUAAACAUUUAAGUACUAGUGGUUGGCCCGCCCUACGGGCGGGUUAGUUUACGCUAAAACUAUUGUAUAUGAAAAUAUAUAUUAAUUUUAUAAAUUUUUUAAAAUUUACUUUAAAAUAAAAUAAUAAAUAUAAUAUUUUUUUAAAAAAAAUCAAAUUGUAUUUAUUAAUAUUUUUUAGUUUGAGUUGAAAAGACCUCUACCAUUUUUUGGUUAUAGAUUACAAAAUUAUGAAAUUAAAAAAUUAAGAAAAUGUAAUGAUUUAUAUUUCUAUUUUAUUUCUAUUUCACUUUGAUAUAGUUGAAGAAAAUCUAAAGUAAGAAUAACAUUUUUAAAAAAAAUUCUAAGAGUAUAAUUAUAAUACUAUUACAAUUAAUUAUCGUCUCCCGAUUAUAAAUUAAUCCACUUCCAAGCUAAAUCAAUUGAAAAUAUAAUGUAAUGUAAUAAAAUUAUAAAAUGUUAUAUUUUAAUGUAAUAUAUAAAUAGUUUCAAUAAUUUCACAAAUAACAAUUAAUCUAUAUUAUUUAACAACAAAAUGAUGUUUUAAAACAAACCAAACCAGAACCAAAGUGGACCCAAUAUUUAUUAGUCAGUUUCUACUAUUGUUGUCCAACUGGAACAAAAACAUUAACAGACAAAUUGAAAUUCAUAAAUAGUCAGUUUCAUUGUUCAUUGUCUAAACACAACAUGAAACACUUUGGUUGCCUCUAUACCAUUUGGUUUUCGGUUCGAUUAUGGUUUUUGUUGGUUUUCCGGUUCUAAAGAUAUAGGUUACCGUUCAAUUAUUUAUGAAUUUCACUUUCGCUAUUUUGGUUUUUGUUCCAGUUUGGAUAACAAUAGUAGAAACUGAAUAAUAAAUUUUGGGUCCAUUUUGGUUCUGGUUUGUUUGUUUUUUCGGAUAAUUCUAGAUAAAUCGGGAAAUUGGAGAUCUUUGUAUUUUUCAGAUAAAAUAUCAGAUAAUUAAAAAAUAUUCUACAUUCUUUUGGGUUAUUCAGAUAUUUUAGUUACUUUGGAUAAAAAAUAUUUGAUUUUUUUCGAGUAGUUUGAUUUAUAUGUAAUAUUUUUAGAAUAUUUGGUAAUUUAUAAACUUAAUGUAAUUAAUAUUUUAAGCAUAUGAAAUGAAAUUUAAAUUUUCUGAUUUGAUUUUUUGAUUCAAUUCCGGUUUGGUUUUCGAUUCUCGUUUAUAUACCUAGACAUAGUUGCUUUAAGCUUUUACACAAACACACAAAAGAGACUAUUUGAAAAUAAAUAUCUAGAAAGUAUAACAAUAAUCUGUAUGCAAUGGGUAUAAAAAAGAAAUGCGGGCUUUCCUCCCUCAUGAACUAACAAUACUACAAUAACUUAAAGACUCUUCUUUUGGAAUAGAUGGAUCUGGUCUUCCUCAAGUACUUCAAGCAUUACCCAAAAGAGUAAACAUCAGACUUCCCAGUCAAUUGUUAUCUUGUACUGGUCUGGAUCAAGAUAAUGAAUCUUCCUAUACCGUCAUACUCACACGUGUCUGGUCAAGAUCUGGACGUCUUAAACAAUCCAAAUUCUGAAACUUUGUCCAUGAAAUUCUCAUCGAAGAGAAUGUUAUCAUACUUCAUAUCGCGGUGGAUGAUACCUCUUGCGGAAUCUGUAUGGAUAUAGUGCAGGCCUCUAGCUGCACCAAGACAUAUCUCAAGCUUCUGUCUCCAGCUCAACCUUGGGCGAUCCAAGUCAUGCACAAUAGUCCUCUUAUUGUUCUCACUGCAAUGCCCGAUUAAAGAAACCAAAUGCAUGUGUAUGAACUGGGACAACAUUUCGAUCACUGUCCUGAAUUUAUUGAUGUAAAGCUAUAGCUGGUUAGUAUAUGUAUUUGAAAAAACCAUUACCUACUGUGGUUGAAGAUUCUUACGGUCCAAUCAGAUUGAUUGCUUCUGGUGGUAGACCAUAUAAUUAAAAAGCCUACUUUCCUCGUUUGCCUUGUAUCUCAAGGACCUCCUGCACUCAAAAACAGAGAACAGUUCGAUUCAAUUAAUUUUUAACACAUUGAGUCAUUCGUUAAUGCAAAAGUGGAACUUUUUGUGGAAGUAAUUCUUGAUUGUAUUACUGAUGAAGCGCUCAGGUGCUUAAUUUCAUUUUCUCCACGUCCCUAAUACUCGAUACCACAUCAUCAUCACACCUGAAAAAAGAGGAAACUUAAAAGAUUAAUAUGUGCCUCCAAAAAUUCAUAUAAUUCAGAGACUCAUGAAGAAACAAGACUUCAAAUGAUGCUAGCCUUCUUUUGACACUAAACACAGUUGGAGUGUUGUCAAGCAGUGGGUUUCCUUUGGGAAGUUCCUCUUCUUUGGCGUUUAGCUCUUCAUUUGCUGCUGCUUUUCCUGGAAAAAUGUAAAUAAUAAAUAUUAAGAUACAACUUUCAUAUGUCAAUGUGUUUAGAAAAAACUAACGUAGUCAUUUUGUUAUAAUUGUAAUCUGAAAUCAUCUCACAGACAAGAACACAUACCUUCCUGAGCCUCUUUAUUUAUUUAUCUGGUCUAGUUCAGCCAUAAGAGAUCCAGUCUCAUCCUCAUCAUCGUCACUUUCUUUAUAUUUAAGAAAGACAACCAGAUCGUAAGAUAACUCAAAGGAAAUUACAAGUCUCAGUUGAUAUAAGUCAUCAAAAACUCUCAAAAAGGAUAACACUGAAGCAAUUGCAUAUUCCCAAACCAGGGCUCUGAGGAAAAGCAUUAAAUCUCAAGCAAAGAAUCUUUAGAAGUUUAAAGCACAAAAGAUGAACUGCAAUAGGAAGGAAAGAAUGGAAAAUAGGUACCUAUCAUCAUCAUCAGAAUCAUCUUCAGAGUCCCUUUUAGAGCCUAAAAGCAGGAUAUCAGAGUUAGAAUUUAGAAAACAUAUAAUCAAACUACUUGUAUCCCGUGACAUAUAAUCAAAUAAACAUAUAAACCUUCGAGUAAUAGCUGAUUCCCUCUCCUGUAGUAGCUUUCAACUAAUGACAAAAAAAAAACACAUUAGUGAAACGAAGGAAGAAUCUUUACAAAAUCAUAUUGAAAAAAAGGUUUGAAAUUUAUCGUCUCACUCAUCACAGUGAGAUUUUUCUUUGGAAGAAAAGUUUCUCCUCUCACGCUCUUCAAGUCAUCACGAAGUUUCUUCUUCUAUAGAACAUCAAGAACUGAUCUCGGUGGUGUUUGAGCAACGGCCUGCUUUCAGAUUUGCGAGAAGAACGUAGGAAGUCGACAUAGUGGGCGGUGAUGCUUGGCAGAGUAUAAUCUUUGAGAAAUCUUAGCGGUGGAGCUGUUCAUGGCAUCUAACGGAGACAUUUAUAGUCUGAAGUCGUACCGAACUCAAACAUGCAUCGCUUACCUUCGUCGCCAAUUAUAAUACAUAAAUGAGGCGGAGUGGGAGGAGAUGUAUGGUGGUGUUAAAUGCUCAUUUUAAUGGUGGACUUAAAAAACGAAUCUGUUACCCAAAGUUUUCAUCGGAUGGAAGAGAAGCGAAAGGAUUAGGGCGUCUCAGUCGAGGAUCAUAAAAACUUAGUCAAACACGGGCCCACGCAUCUGAUACUUAUAAAGACCAAAUUAAAAUAAAAGCCCAUUCACCGAGAGACGAAAAUUUUAGGAGUCGAAGGUUAAGAUGCCACGUGGUGCAAAACGCCCACCUCUAAAAAAAAGACGUGGAGGGCUAAGGUGAGAGAAAACUCUGUUUUUAGGAGUCGAAGGUUAAGAUGCCACGUGGCGCAAAACGCCCACCUCUAAAAAAAGGACGUGGAGGGCUAAGGUGAGAGAAAACUCUGUUUUAUUAUUAUAGAUAUGAUUAAUGUUAAAAAAAUAUCACUAAUGUUUAAAAAUAAUAAUUUAUGUAUAAAAAAGUAAAAACAAACACCCGCGCGGUUGCGCGGAUCAAAAUCUAGUUAAAGAGUUAUUAUAUGAGAGACACGUUAUCAGAAAUCACUAAAGUGACUUCUCAAUUAAUAUAUAUGAAGAUAUUAAUCUACUAUAUAUUAAUUUUGGAGCAUUACAACUUUUGAGUGUAGCCAUAUUGACUUACAAUCCUUCGCAUAUAUAUGACAAUUAAUGAUUUUGAAUAAUAAAGAUUUGAUAAUAUUUUUUGUAUCCUCAAUAAUUUUUGUUUAAUUUAUAUUAUUAAAAAAUUUAAACAAUCACAGUAACCAUAUAAUAAAAAAAUCUAGAUUUUGUUUCUUAUAUGUUAUAUUUAAAAAAAUUUAAAACGAUUAUAAAUUACUAAAACUGUUAAAAGUCUUACAAUGAAAAUUUUGUGAACAACGGUUUUAGUUUUUUGUUAUAAAAAGAUACAAAUGAUCACAAAACAUAUCAAUAUAAAGUAUCAUUUAAAUAGAUAUUCAAUCUGAAUAUCUAUUACCGAGCUUAGAACUUUAGGGUUUAGUUAUAAUCUGAACGAAACCAAAAUCCUAACUAUAAUCCAAAGAUAUCAGAAAUUAGUAUAAUAUGUUAAUGUUUUUUUUAUAUAUGUUAAGGCAAUUUAGAUAUUUUAUAGUUCGAAAGAUUUUUGUAGUUUAUUUUAUUUGUUAUCUUGAAUAUCUUUUAGUUAAUUUAGAUAGUUUAACUAAUUUUAAUUAUAUUUAUGAAUAAUUUUAACAUUUUGAAGCUUUUUUCAAUUUUUGAGGUUUAAAAAUAUAUUUUGGGACGAUUCAGAUAUUGGUUACAAUCCGGUCCGAACCGAACCCGGCCUAAUUAUUAGUAAAACCCGAGUGGGACGUAUAAGCAUAAUAUCAAAAUUUUGAAAAUCUGAAUCAAUUGAACCGAAACCGACGGACCCCGAACGCCCAGACCUAUGAUACAUUUAUAUACAAACAUUUGUAUUCUUCAUUUUACAAUCGAUAAAGAUUAUAAUAUUGUAAAAUGUUAUAACCAUUAAAUAAAUAAAUAUUAGUAUAAAAAUCUUACUCCGCGCCGAUUAUCAUCUAGUAAUAUUAUUUGCCAAAAUCAAUAUACAAGGACAUAAAUAUUAAUUCAUAAAUAUAUUAUAUUUAUGAUUUUACCCUAAAAAUUUUUAAAACUAAAAUAAUUUUCUAGCCAGGUUUUUUGUUAUUUUCGUGUUAUAGGGGAGAAAAUGGUAUUUGAGAAUAUUUUAAAAAAUAAAAAAAACAGCAGAAAGUAGAUAAUUGGUUCGAAAUGUCGUUUUAAUAGGUUCAGCGCCAACAAUCAGUCAGGAAACUAUAACUUCACCUUCCAUUCUCUCUAUCUUCUUUUCAAUCAUCUCCAGAAUGGAAUAAACAAUUAGGUAGUUUCGAUUCGAUGCUGCUCAGCUCAUGUCUUCUUACACCAUCAAAGAAACAAUGGCGACUAAAGAUGAAGUCCAGAACGACCCACUGUUGCAGGCAUCAGAAAGUGACGGUCACGAAGAGUUCAACGGAGCUUCUUUCACCGGAGCGGUACUCAACCUGGCAACAGCGAUCAUCGGUGCUGGUAUCAUGGCUUUGCCCGCCACGAUGAAGAUCCUCGGACUUGUUCCCGGAAUCGUGAUGAUCCUUCUCAUGGCUUUCUUGACCGACAAGACUAUUGACUUCUUGCUUAGUUUUAGCGGAGUCGGGAACGCUAGAAGAUCGUACGGUGGUUUGAUGGAAGAUUCUUUCGGCAAAACCGGAAGGAUUGUGUUGCAAGUUGCUGUUCUUGUUACCAACAUUGGGGUUUUGAUCGUUUACAUGAUCAUCAUUGGUACUUGAUCUUUGAUACUAAUCAGAGCUUUUGAUCUUUGGCAUUUGUUUUAACUCUUGUUUGGCUUGAAGGUGAUGUUUUGGAGGGUAUGCUUGAAGGAUGGUUUGGAGAAAGCUGGUGGGACAAGAGAAGUAUUGUUCUUCUCUUUACAACUCUUUGUGUCUUUGCUCCAUUGGCAUCCUUCAAGCGCAUUGGUUAGAACAAUGUGUUGCAUACUUCUCUUAAAAUGAAAUGGAGAGUGUAUCCGGUUGAUUUAUUAUGGCUUCAUUGCAGAUACUUUGAGAUUCACGUCUGCCCUAUCACUUGUUCUAGCGGUUGUUUUUCUAGUCAUCACUGCGGGAAUCGUCGUUACAAAGUUUUACAGAGGUGGUUUGAUGAAGCCAAGACUCUUCCCAAACGUCACUGACUUGUCAUCGGUCUGGAAACUCUUCACCGUUGUUCCUGUGCUUGUCAACGCAUACAUUUGUCAUUCUAACGGUAACGCUUCUUUCUCACUAAAAGGAUUAAACAGGAACUCAUGGUUUUUUGAUGUUUUCAGUCCACAAUAUACAGAACGAGCUUGAAGACUCCAUUCAGAUCAAAGCUGUUGUGCGUUCAGCUCUAGUGAUGUCCUCCUCUGUUUACGUAAUGACAAGCUUGUUCGGAUACCUCUUGUUUGGUGAAUCUACUCUUGAUGAUGUUCUUGCAAACUUUGAUACCGAUCUUAAGAUCCCUUUCGGUCCGGUUCUCAGUGAGGCAGUCAGACUCAGCUAUGCAGCUCAUCUCAUGCUUGUGUUCCCUGUUAUCUUCUAUCCUUUGCGCGUUAACCUGGACGGUCUCUUGUUCCCUACGGCUACUCCAUCACUUACUACCUCUAAUAUGAGGUUUGGCUCCAUCACUGCCGGUCUCAUUGCUGUAAUCUUUGUUGGUGCAAACUUCAUUCCAAGCAUCUGGGAUGCUUUCCAACUCACUGGAGCUACAACUUCUGUCUGCAUCGGUUUCAUAUUCCCUGCUGCUGUCAUCUUGAAGUAAGUCCCCAUUGUUUCUCAUAACAGACUGGUUUUGGAACCUAAUGGAUCAUUUUACCUGAGGGUAUCUCUUCAGGGAUCGUCAUAACCGAGCAACAAAGAUGGACAAGACUAUAGCCAUUUUCGUGAUUGUCCUUGCGGUUUUCUCCAGUGCAGUUGCCAUUUACAGUGACGCUUACGCCUUAGUCAAGAAGAACAAAUCCACAUUUCCAAUGUGAGCAGAAUGGUUUUGUUUGGUUCUCUUACUCUAAGAAAAAAAAAAAACUUGACAACUGUAAGAAUGACCCCUGUGAUUUUGAUCUUUAGAUCUUGUUCAGCUCUAGAUCAAAUAAAAAUGUCAGAAGCGUCCAUGUCUAGAUCAUAUUUGGCCCUAGAACAAUAUCCAAAUUAAAAUACUGUGUUGAACUGAUACAAUUUGUCACUGUGAAUCUUUAAGAUACAGACAAAAAAACAGCAACAAGUGUCUAUUAGGAGUCGUUGGGACAACUCAAAACAAAACAAAAGAGUUAUAAAGAAUAAAAGGUUUACUUUUAGGAAUUUGACUUAUCUCCAUCGCUGGAGUCAGCCGGAGAAGGGAAGCAUUGGCAAUAUCCAUUAAUGCUAUUUCUUGAACUGCUCUGAUCUGAUCACUUUUCUCAAACUCUUUCUUCUUCAGUGCAGCGAAGAGAAGUUAAACAAAGAUGAGAGAUGUUACAGUCACAAGUGAAUAUAAAUCAGUGCAAAAGCUAAAAAAAAUGUUAAAAAACAUAUCUCAAGUAAGCACUGCACCUGAUAAACAUAAUAGAAAGCUUCUGACUAACUGUCUAGCUAAGAAAACUCAGAGGAGACGGGUAGUGUGCACUCAUCAAGAAGUGCCUCAGAGCCAAUGGAUGGUAACUUUCUGUGAUCUACACAAGAUUGAAACAAAAAGACGGAUCAGAACCUGUCAACAAUUCUGCGUUUAGGCCAUGCGAACAAUGAGUUACUAUAUUUGGAAAGAAAAUAGAACAAUACUCAACGGGUUCUCCACACUCUCAUUAGCACGUAUGAUUAUAAGCAAAUUAACUUCAUAACCUAAAUGCUUCAAGUAUCAACGCAAACCCAUGAUAUGUGCAAAGGCUCAAGCUUUCUUUUCUACGAAUCUAAGUUACGAGAGAUGGGAGAAUUGAAAGCAUGCAUCUAGACCUGUAGAGAACGUCGAAGGAGACGACGGAGGCGCGAGCAUGGCCGACUUUUCGCGUGCCCCAAUGUGAAAUGUAGAAUCUCCUAUGGAUUCCUAGAGUCUCAUAUACCCCUAUUUCAUAAUUAUUUUUUUGAUCAAAAUCCAAACUUUCAAAUCAAAUCCUUCCAGGUCAUCAAAACUAAACCCUAACCCUCCCCUAUAAAUUAGUGAACCCAUGGACAAAUAUUUAAAUUCAGAAUAAAAUAUUUUAAAAUCAUUUUUAAUCAUAUUUUGAUGAUUUUUUUGAAAAUAUGGAAAACAACGUUUUUGGAUUUUUGAAAUAUUUUUAUCAAAUUCUAUAAAUCAAAUAAAAAAUAUUAACGUUUCAAUUUUAAUUUUAUGAUUUUUAGUUUGACAUAUAAAAUUAAAAGAACAAAAAGAUCCUUUUGAGAUUGUGUUAUGAGAUAUAAGGGUAUGAGAAGAUUUGUCUCUCUUUGCGGUUAGAAAAUGUAGGAACUGUGACCAAGAUCUAUAGGUGGGAUCCACUCUGUUUCUCCUUGAGCCAUCUUUUUUUUAAUGCUAGUUUAUUAUGAUAUUACAAUUAUGAAAAAAAUUAUAUAGACGAUUCGACAACCAACAAUACUACUUGCCUUAUGAGGAUUUAUGCAUAACUGCAUCAUGCCUUAUGAGGAUUUAUGCAUAACUGCAUCACCUCAGCCGUCCUAUGAAAAUCCACGUUUGGCCGAAUUUAUUUGCGCCAUGUUAAAAAUCCCUUGUAAGCUUUUUUCCGUAAUUUGUAUAAUUGUUUAAUAAAUCGUUUUUUCCGGGAAUUGAAAGUGGACCUCAUGUAAUAUGCAAAAAUUUGCAUAGAGAUUCGAACCCAAACAUGGAUGUAGAAACCUUUAAACAUUAACCAUAUGAUAUAGUGCUUCCACUAAACCAUCUAUCUAAGAUCCUGUUUCAAAGAAAAACUAAAACUUUAAAUAUUUGAUUUCAAUUAUAUACUCCAACAAAAGUUUAUAACUUUAAAUUUUAAAGUUUUGAAUAGUUAAACUUUAAUUUGAGAUUUUAUAUUUUAAAGUUUUAAAAAAAUUAUCUGUUUUCUAAAUAAUCUUGUUAAGUUUCAAUAUUAUCAUUUUAGUUCUUAUAAUUUCUAUAUUUCAUUAAUAUUUUACAUAUAAAAUACUGAUUUGGUUUGCAACUUAUAUCUAACUAAUAAAUAAAUUUAUAUGUCAUUUUAAAAUUUAUUAACUGAUCAUAUAUAAAAACAUUACAAAAUAAUUUUAUUGAGUAGUUUGGUAUUUUAUUUGUAAGUAAUGAUUUAAUUUAAGUUUUUCAGUUAUCAUUUAUCAUAAGAUAGCAUUUUUCUAACCAAUAUUAUAACUAUUAUAACUUUAAUCAAUUUUUAAUUAAUAUCGAAAACUAAAGUGAAUAUAUAAUAAGAUUUAAAAAUACAUUGUAGGUUUUAAUAUUGGAAAGUAACACCCCAAAUCUCAAAUUUAGGGGUUUUCCAACCUUAAAAAUAUGGCUCCUCUUGAAAAUGCUCUAAGUUGGACUAUGGGUUUGUUCAUGGAUAUGAUCAACUGGAAAAAUAGACUGUUUUCAAAUAUCAAAAUUGUAAUCUCGUUACAGAAUUUUCUUCUUUUUUUUUUAAAUUAGAAAUUUUGUUUAUGUUGAAAUAACACUGUCAAGAUAUGUUAUAGUUUACUAAUUAAAUACAGGAUUAGAGUGAGCUUUGGGUUCUAUAUAGAUUCAGUUGCUCCACCACGUAGACCAAAUUGUUUAAAAAUUGCCUCAAUUUUUUUUUUUUUUGGUGUAAAAUUGCCUCAACUUCUUGUUCAUUCUUUUAUUAGAAAUGAUAUAAAGGAGUGGGAUCUUCAAUUUUUACGAGAAUAUAUGCACCCCGAAGAUUUAACUUUGAUCUUUGGUGUUUCCCUAUGUCUGACCGAUAGGGUUUUGUAAUCUGCGGUUUCUAAUUUUCUUAGUGGUAUAUACUCUUCUGCUUUGGUGUGUUUGCUUUGUUCUAAAUUUUCUCAGUGCAUUACAAAUAACAAUCUUGGUUUUGUGGCUUCGCUUUGGUUCGGGGAGUGCCAAUUCCGGUUUUGAUUGGUUGGUUAAAGCAACAAUUGCAAAGUUUUGGUUUAAGGCAAGUCCUUUAUGUUGCGUGACAGUGAAUACUUUUGUGUUGAGUAGUUUAGUAAUGCGUUCUUUCCAUGGUAAUUUAUUAGCUAUGUGCUCUUUUUAACGACGCAAGGCAACAGCUAUCUUUAAGGAGAAUCUUCACACCACUAUUCUGGUGUUUCUCCUCUGGUGGGGAGGUUUUGGCUUUGCUUCUCUUCUCUGAAAUUGACACUCUUUUUACAGCUGAACCUUUCGUUGUCUUUAACUUGGUAGUCUGUGGAACUCUUGUGCUAGCCUCCACGCUUUAAGGAGAAACAAAAUCUAGAGUCACCUUUAUACUCUUAAACAGUUUGCAUAACAUUUGAUGAGAUGUUUCUCAAAAGUCCAUGGCUUUAUAUCUGUAUAUGGAAAAACAUACAUCGACCAUAAGCAAAGUAAAUAAGAUAGAUUUUGAAUAAGGGAACUCUUUUGUUAGGUCAUAGAGCUUGUUCCAACGUCAAAUUAUGAUUCACAUUGUCUGUCUUUUAUGCAUUUUGGUUUGUUUUGUUUUGUUGAAGAUGAAAGUGUAAUGAGCAUUCGUCAAUCGUUUCUUCUCACGUAUAUUAUGACUAUCCGAGUUAAAGAUGCUAAUUAACCAGAGUAAAACUUUGAAAGCUGAUUUAGAUUUUUCAGAGAAGAGAACUCUGUGUAGUAAGAAGCAUUUGAGAUUGAAGAAAAGAACUAGUUCAUUAACAGUUUUGGUUGCACUAGGAUUCCCAGAGUUAAAAGAUGCUUUUUGGUUGCUUACCACAGUAAAAAGAUUGAGACUUGAGUUUGCAAGAGAAAAGAACAACUUUUUAACAGUUAGAAACAUACAGUAGUAAAACUUUGAAAGCUGCUAUUCAAAUGCUAAAUUAACCGCAGUAAAACUUUGAAAGCUGGUUUAGAUUUGAGACCUGAGUUACUAAACUUUAUAAUGAACAGAAACAACAUAUACUAAACAGAGACUUUAAACAGGAGACAUACUAGACCUUCAUGAAUAUAAAGUACGUACUAAACCUUAAUGAACGGACACUAAACUGAAAGAAGUCUGUCGAUUUCUUCAACCCCAAGACUUUGGUCAGAGUUCUCUUAACGGUCUUUGUCUUCCAGAACCUCAACUUCAAAGGCUUCUUGUCUGAAACAGCAACAUCAUCCGUCGCUAGUUUCUUCUUGGAACCUCUUCGUCUGAUUCUCAACUUGAACAGGUUCGACAGAAACGAGUUACUUGUCUUCUCCUCUGUUGUCUUCUCAUCCUCUUCUUCAACUUGUGGACGAGGCAAGAAGGGAUGAAGCAACAACUCAUGCGCGCUUCCUCUCUCCUCAGGGUUCCUCGAGAAACACGUUUGGAUAAAGUCCUUUGCAUCACAAGGAACCGUUUCAGGUAUCUCUGGAGAUUUACCAGAGAGGAGACGAGUAGCGAUCUCAUCUAGUUCGAGGCCUUCCCAUGGAAUCACGCCCGUGUACAUCUCCAGAACCAAACACCCCACCGACCACAAGUCUAGAGACACGUGGGCGAUGCCGUCACGGACCGACUCGGGCGACAUGUAGAUCGCAGUCCCAAGCCACGGGAAAUUAAUUUCCCAACACAGGGGAACCUCUCCUAUCUCUAACGCGUUGCCGAAAUCACAAAUCUUGACCUCGUAUGAAUUUUGUCUCAAAGAGGAAGAAGGGAAGACGAGUAUGUUGUCUGGUUUGAUGUCGCAAUGAACGUAGCCAUGGUCGUGAAUCGAGACCAAACCUUCGAGAACCAUCCGUGUGAAAUCCCUGAUCAACGGUUCAGGCAACUUUCUGUCGGCGUAAUUGUUCAUGAAAGCGUGGAGACUACCUUCGGAAGCAAACUCGAGUUGUAGUUUGUGGAGUUUCUCCCCGAAUCUGCUGAAACUUUGUUGGAGAGAGUCUCCGAGACAUGUGACGAUCCUGGGACAUCCCUUGAGUUGGAGAAGAACGUGGAACUCUCUUUGGAGAGCGUUGUAGUCUUCUUGGUAAGAGUUCUUUACGGCAGAGAGGUAGAAAGAGUUGUCGUCGGGAUUAUUGUAGCGGACGAGAUUAACAAAACCAUAAGCACCUUUGCCUAGUAACUUGACGAAUUCUUCUUUCGUUUGCAUCUUUUCAAUCGGGUUUUGACACAGAAUCGUUGUUCGGAAACGUUGAGAGAAUUAAAAAUAGGAAACUGUGGCGAAGGAGAAGUGAUUUCAGAGUGUUAUAUAGAGAGUUGGGGUUCAGUUAAGUCGGUGUUGCAGACACACGGAAAAAGGAAAAUUGAAUAACAUAAUUUCCUUUUCUGAGAUACUUCAAAAAGGAAAUUCGAAGCGCUGGCCAACGGUUGAAAAAAGGAAAAGAAUUCGAAUUUUUGGUCAUUUAUAAUUAAAAUGUCCAAAUUUAUAACAAUAAAGAAUUUGUCCACGAUUUAGUUAAUGCUUUCAUAUAAAUUUUUAUUCAUGUCGUUUAAUGCUUAAAAUGUAGUUUGGAAAAAUAUAGGAUUAUAUUUAUUUUCAAAAUUUUAAAGCAGAAAAUGGUAUUUGUUUUGAAACUUCCUCAUUAAACAUAAAUGCUGACAAUGUUAAAAGAACAUAGUGUAUUUGUGACAUCUAAAAAAAACUAUAGAACUUCUAGUGGAAAAAUGUUUAAAAUAGUGACUAAACUUUUUGGCUAUAAAUUUGUUAAGCAUGACAAUUUACCUGAAUUCAAAAACAUGUUCACUAGAUCAAAAUAACCAAAACCGGACCAAAACUUUCAAAUAUUUGGAUACUUCUUAUACUUUUAUAUUCAAAAUAAUCAAACCAAAAAUUAAAUAGACAUCUAUAUAAAAAUAAUUUGAGUCGUUUGAUAUAAUUCGAAUCAUCCUAAUUACUCAAUAUUUUACUGAAUCAAACGAGACCUCGGAUCACAAACAAUUUCUAGUUUUACUAUCUAAACUAGUCCAAAAACGAAACUAUCCGAACUUAUUCAAACCAAGAAGUUGGCAGUUCCUAAAAAUACCUGUUCAAAAUAUCUGAUACAUGUAAUAUCUCACACGAGCCGAAUCGACACCCGAAAUGCCCUAGUCUAAUUUUGUAUUUGAUUUAAAAAAAUCUAACUUUUAAUACACAAAAAAAUUCAGGCUUUGUUUUAGAAAUUUGAAAGAUUUAAUUAAAAAUUGUUGCUAUAACUAAAAAUGUAGUAAUAUUAUAUAUAUAUACUUAUAUAUGAUAUGUAUUAGUUAAUAUUUAGGAAAUUAACAAAUAUGAUAAAGCAAUAAACUGAUACAAUUAAUUAGAUUUAUAAAAUGAAAAUAAAAAUAUCUUAUGUUAAAGAUUUAUUGUUAAAUAGUGUUUUUGGAAUUAUUUUCAUACUUUAGUAGUAUAUCAUGACUCAUUUAAAUCAUAAUGGAGAUGAUGUAAGGGAAAUUCUAUCAAAUAGCUAUUUUUAAGUUUUUGUCACAAAAAUAGUCCUCACGAAAGAAAAUGAUCAAAAUAAUCUUUUUUUUUAUUUUAAAAAUUUUAAUAUUUAUUUUUAUUUUUCAAAAUUUGAAACCCUAUUCCCAAAACCUCACCCCUUAACUCUAAACCUUAAUUCUAGAUUAGUUAACCCUAGGAUAAAAAUACAUUUUUAUCAUUUAGUAAAACUUAUUUCGAUCAUUUUCUUCGUUAGAGGUUAUUUUUGAAAAAAAAACUUAAAAUGACUAAUUUGAACUGAAUAUAUAAAAUAAAUAUAAAAAACUUCAUUAGAGGCUAUUUUAUUCAUGAGGAUUUUUGUGAAUAAACUCAAAAUAAAGCUAAAUCGAUAUCAGUUUGAACCUCAUGAGUCCCUCUUAAAGUGUUUUUCAAAUAUCAAAUACCUUAAAAUUUGUUUGAAUGUGGUAAGAUGAUCCAGUAUACUCCUCUUAGUGUUUUGUUAUCAGUGAAAUCACUGAAUGACCAGAUAAUAUCGUAAUUUGUUGGCUGGAGUCAGCUUAUUAUAAGUUUUGGUUCGAUCCUUUUAGAAAUAGUAAAUGUCGGUUCGGUUCAGAUCGAAUCGGUUUGGUUCAACAAAACAAAUCAACACCUGAGUCCCCCCCCACCACCACCCAAACGCCUCCAUAAACCUCAUGUGCUUUGUUCAGAGGAUCUCGUCUUCUUCUCUUUCUAAUCGAAAAUGGGAACGUUGGGACGAGUAAUCUACACUGUGGGUAACUGGAUUUGCGGGUCUGGGCAAGCUCUAGAUCGCAUCGGUUCUCUUCUUUAAGGGAGUCACCGCUUGGAAGAACACCGUGAGCCACAUUCAAACCCUAGAUCCAAAUCCACAUCUCUAAUUUGUCGCUUACAAGAAAAGAUCUGUUCAUAUUCGAGAAAUUGGUGGUCUAAUUUAGGCUCUCGUUUUCCAUUGGUUGUUGAUGAGUGUGUUUGACAUCUUAUGUUACCUGCGGACAAACAUAUAUCAAUUACCAUUUCGAUUAAAAACUGUUGAACCAUGACAGAGAUCAACAUUGCAAUACUCUCGGAUUACAAUAGACAAUAACAACCGUAAUUUUCAGAAGAAAAAAAAAGAAACUGAAAACGAAGAUGGAGGGCAGAGAGAUAACCAUUUAGGGAGCUUCGGAACGCGAGUAUGCUAUUGAAGCUAUCAAAGUAACUUCUCCAUUACUCUAAGCGACUAUGUGAUAGAUUCCCUAGAAAUUAUCUGCAUAGAGCAAGACUCAAAGUUGGAGUUAUACUUCACUUGUCAUUAUGUAAUCAAGACAGGAGGUGUGUGUUUCCAUUGAUUCUCGAGGUUCUACAAAAAAAUGGUGUAAAGACAAAUGACGGAGUUGUUCUUGCAGUCGAGAAGACUAUCACGUCACCGUUACUGGUAAACUCUCCAUGUGAGACUUUUGGUGGGUUCUGCUCUUUGCUUUUUUAAAGUCUCUCCUUCUUUUUUUCAGAAGCCGGGCAGUCUGGAGAAAAUCAUGGAAACUGAUGACCAUAUAUGUUGUGCAAUGACUUGUCUGAUUGCUGAUGCAUGUAAUACUUGUUGAGCACGCACGAGAGGAGACUGAAGUGAGACCGCUCUCUGUUCCUACUUCCUAAUCAGCUCUGCCUAAGAAGGGUCAUAACUUUUUCUUUUUCUUUUACUUCAGACUUAUGAUUUUUAUGAUGGGAUCAUUUGUAAACACGAUUCAGAUUCACAAUUGAAUUGAACGAAAUGAAAACAUAGUUUUCUUAAAUUGACACUUGUCCUGUUUUUUAAACCUGAUCCCCCCUGCACAAAGUUAUGUAUUGAUUUUGGCCUUGUGAGUUGUGGCAUAAUAUGAGUUAGACCACUUAACUAGUACCACUUUUAGUUACAACAGUACAUGCGGCACCAAGCAAGGAUUGUGUCUUUAAAAGGAGGCGUUAUGAAUUUACCUCUUGAUAGAGUUAUAAGCGCAAUGACAUUAGAGUUUGGAAAGAUUUGUUUUGGUGAGAAGAAUAACAAUACAUGCAGUUUGAUAGGAAUAGUUAACAUUUUCUUAAGGAAUACAAUAUUACAUCAAACCAUUUCAUAAAUGUUAAAGUAAAGAUAGAACUCGGAUCAGACAUAACGGUUGUAAGGGAUACAAAUCAGAUCCAUCCAACCAUUUCCGUUGAUAAAGGUAUAAACCGAGUACUUCUGAGCUUCUUCGUCCGUCAUAUUGGGUUUGUACACAGUCUACACGGUUGCUAAGACCCAAACCCCAGUUCCAGUGUUCUUGUACUCUCCAUACCUCAACGUCCUAGGGUUCCAUGUGAUCCAACCCCUCGGCUCAACCAUGUCUCCUAAAAACAUCUUCAUAACAAGAACCGUUGCAAACGGCUUCCAAGGUCAUCCAAGUUACAGAGCCGGCUCAGAGGACAAACCACACAAACCAUCGUUUAGUGCAUACAAUACGAGAAAACAUAAUAUAUUUAUUAAUAAAAGUUAUAUAAAUAAUACUAAUAUUUUUAUGAUUAUUAUUAUUAUUAUUAUUACUAUCAAAUAAAUACAAAUUAUGUUUAUAAACUUAAUAAAAUUAUAUAAAAUAUAAGUAAAAAUUAUUAAAAAUAUAAGUAAAAAAUAUAUAAAACAUAAGAAAAAAUAUUAUCUUUUAAAUGUGAGAUGUUGUAUUAACAAAUGAUUUUAGUAAUUACGACUGAUUAUAGUUAAAAUGUUGCUGAUAAUAUUAACAAAUAUUACUAUACAAUUAACUUUAUAAAAUUAUAUUUAAUAAUUAUUAAUGAAGUUGAAUUAGUUUAAAGUUUUUUGUGAUAUCUUAUAUUUUACAUAUAUAUAUAUAUAUAUAUUAGGAAAAAAUGUAAAUAUAUGUUGUUAAAAGUUUGUAAGGCAUCUAAAAGUGUUGGACCUUGUUAUGGCAUGUUCGUGCUGUUGAAAAUCACGAAGCCUGGGAAAUAAUUUGUAAGGCAUCUAAAAGUGUUGGACCUUGUUAAACGAACAGAGGUAGGGGUGGACACUUUACCCGAAAUCCGAAGUGGCACCUAAACCCGAUCUGAAAAACCCAAACCGAAAUCCGAACCGAAGUAGCAAAAUACCCGAACGGGUAUUAAAUUAGGAGAGAUUGGAUAUCCGAACCCGAACGGAUAAUAUCCGAACCCGAAUGGAUAUCCGAAGAUAACCGAACAUAUAUAUAAUUAACUUUAUAUUUCUACUUUACAUCUCUCAUUUUAUAUAAAACAUUUAUAUUGAUAUUACAUAUACUUUAAGUUCAUAUGAUAUAUAUAUAUAUAUAUAAUUAUGAAAAAAAUGAUUUGCUACUCACUUAAAAUGCAUGUCAAGUUUUUUACUUCAAAAAUUAACAAAAAGUUACAUCAAAAUUUUAAAAACAAUAACUAAAUUAAUGUUUUUUUAGUUUUAAAAUGUUAUGUCCAAAUCUAUUAACCAUUCAAUCUAUUAAAAAUAAAAAAUAAGUUAAGUGAAAUUUAUAUUUUUAAAUACAAGAAAUUUGAGAAAUUAAAAUUGAAUUUUUUUCUUUCAAAAUCUAAAUAUCCGAACCCGAUCCGAAAUAACCGAAACCGAACUAAAAAUACCCGAACCCGACCCGAAGUACAGAAAUAUCCGAACGGGUUCUACACUUGUAUACCAAAAUACCUGAAAAUCUCAAAUACCCGAUCCGAACCCGAACGGGUAUCCGAACGCCCACCCCUAAAGAUGGAUAUCGUAAUUUGAUGGCUGGAGUCAGCUUAUUAUAAGUUUUGGUUCGAUCCGUUCAGAAAUAAUAAAUGUCGGUUCUGUUCAGAUCGAAUCGGUUUGGUUCAACAAAACAAAUCAACACCCGAGUCCCUCCCCCCACCCAAACGCCUCCAUAAACCUCGUGUGCUUCAGAGGAUCUCGUCUUCUUCUCUCUUUCUAAUCGAAAAUGGGAACGUUGGGACGAGUAAUCUACACUGUGGGUAACUGGAUCCGCGGGUCUGGGCAAGCUCUAGAUCGCGUCGGUUCUCUUCUUCAAGGGAGCCACCGCUUGGAAGAACACCGUAAGCCACAUUCAAACCCUAGAUCCAAAUCCACAUCUCGAUUCGAGAAAUUGGUGGUCUAAUUUAGGCUCUCGUUUUCCAUUGGUUGUUUUGAUGACAGUAUCGAGGCAUCGGACGUUGAUGAGUGUGUUUGAUAAAUCACCAUUGGUGGAUAAGGACGUGUUCGUGGCUCCGAGUGCCUCUGUUAUUGGUGAUGUUCAGAUUGGGAAAGGCUCCUCUAUUUGGUAUGGCUGUGUUCUUCGAGGUAAAGGCCUUUUCUUUCCCACUAAAUCCUUUAAAAUGUUUUGUCUUUGGUAGCGUUAAGGCAAAGCCAAAUGAUAUUUGGUUGUUGGGAAUAGUAUGUCCCCCACAAAGACUUAAAAAACAAGAUUUGAUAUAAAUUGCAAGCCAAGUAUCAAAUUUGCAGCAUUAUACUUUGCAAGAUCGUGUGCAUUCGUUACAGUUUAGAUCUUUGCUGAUUUACUUGAUUGUCCUUUUCAUUUGAAGGUUCUAGGUUUAGUGUAUUCCUGAUGAGACGUUGUGAAAUAGCUGGAACUCAUUGUAACUUUUGUGCAGGUGAUGUGAAUAACAUCAGUGUUGGAUCUGGGACCAACAUCCAAGACAAUUCUCUUGUACAUGUUGCAAAAACCAACUUAGCUGGGAAGGUUUUGCCUACUACAAUUGGGGACAAUGUCACAGUAGGUAAACUUCUAAAACUGAUUUAUCAGCUUUUGAGAAUCUGUUUUAUGUAAUGUGUUCUGUUGCAUGAUUCUUACUUAAAAUCUUUGUGUGUAAAAAUUAAACCGAGCAGGUCAUAGUGCUGUCAUACAUGGUUGUACUGUUGAGGAUGAGGCUUUUGUUGGCAUGGGUGCUACACUACUCGAUGGUGUAGUGGUUGAGAAGCAUGCCAUGGUUGCUGCUGGUUCCCUUGUGAGAGAGAACACACGAAUCCCUUCUGGAGAGGUUUCUUUCUAUUCUCUUUUUCUUUUCUGGUUUACUUUCUACUGCGUUUGUGAUAAACAUAUUGACAAGUUAACAAACAAUUCAUGUGGCAGGUAUGGGGAGGAAACCCAGCAAAGUUCAUGAGAAAGUUAACAGAUGAAGAGAUAGCAUAUAUCUCAAAGUCGGCUGAGAACUACAUCAACCUCGCACAUAUUCACGCAGCAGAGAACUCAAAGUCAUUUGAAGAGAUCGAGAUUGAGAGAGCGCUUAGGAAGAAGUAUGCACGCAAGGAUGAGGAUUACGAUUCAAUGCUUGGGAUUGUCCGUGAAACUCCAGCGGAAUUGAUUCUCCCCGACAAUGUCUUACCGGAGAAAACUACCACCAGGGUUCCAACUACUCAUUACUGAUUCACCCGCCUCAGGUUGUUUUGCAGACAAAGAUUGAUUAAGUCAAGAGAGAUAUUAUCUUUUGGUUUUGCCCUUUUUUUCUUCCGAGUAAGCAUGGGAUUUGUUAUAUUCUUGCUCAAUAAAGCCGAAAAGAACAUGUACUGUUGCAUUAUGUCACAUUUGUUGGAUGAAUAAUUGCAUAAAGAAAAACGAUUUGCAUUCAUUGUGUUCUUCUCUUUUGCUGAUGAUGAUGAAAAUGAGUUUGGUUUCAAGGAUGAAUUAGUGUAUAGAGAUCAUGAUUUCUGAAUCCAAGUUAUAAACUAUUAGGACUUGGUGUUUUGGUUUAGUUUUUUGAGUUCUUAUUUUGCUAUUAAGACUUGGUGUUUUACUAUUUAAGCAAGGUUUUUUUUUUGCAUUGGUGUUGCUGUUUUGGACUAAAAUGUGGUUGAUUUGGUGUGUUUGGUUCUAGCAUACAUAUUUUACAAAGAUGCUGAUGAACUUAAAGUGGGACUAUAAGAUGGUUUGAAUACGUUUUCUAUAAUGCAUACGCAUGGCAUUUGGCUGAGUCUCAAGACCAAACCAAGCAUUGCGUGACUAAUAACAGAGACAUCACUGGAAGCUGACAAACAAUAUUUGGUCAGUGGAACGAGCAGGACCUGUGUUGCCUUGUCCCAUCCACAGACCACCGCUUAUCAAUAAUCCAGACAGUUCUCAGGGAUAUACCGAUUCGUAACAUCUAAUAAGAUGGCACCAGCAUAAAUUCUAAACAAAACAAACCUGAUUCAGUUUGCUUAGGUAAAAACUAUUACUGAAAAUUGUAACCUCAAAAAAAACACACAAAGAUUUCACGCUGAGUAAAAAGCAAAAUACUUGGGACAUAGACUGAUUUUUAAAUUCAGCUUGGAACUUUAACACCAAAGAGCUAAAGACGGACACAGUUAUAAUUCCAAAGUUAUUUGUGAUCAAACUCUAACACUCUCACUUUCUCACAUUUCCAUUGGUGCAACAUCCUGAUCACCUGCACCACCUUGUUCUGCAGCAGCAGCUUCAGCCUCGGCCUCACCACCAUCCUCCUCUUCCUCGGGAACGUUCUCAAACGUAUCAAUCACCUUCUGUAUGCUAUCCUGGUCCAAGAAAUGGAAUGGUUCAUCGACUCCUAGAACAGAAACGGUGCAGAGCGAGCUCUUGAGUGUCUCCCCUUGCAAAGUUUCCCUUAUGGCCAAAAUAGCAUCUUUGAUCAGAUCUUCUCUUGAUGACUCAUUGAAGCUCUCGAAUCUUCGUUCUAGAUAAGUUUUCGCAGCUUGUGAACGUGACCCGAUGGCGAACGCUUGGUACUCAAAGUAGUUUCCGCUGGGGCAGUUGUAGUAGAGGUGGGCUCCUGACUCGUCCAGUCCCCCUACCAGCAAACCCACACCAUAAGGUCGUUUCCAUGACCGUUGGGUACAUACCUGCUCAGAAAAAAAGUAUGAAGAGGGUAAACACAAGAUCAACAAACAAGUUCAACGAUCAAUAAUACCAGAGUUUUGUUCAAAGUACAAGAUUAAUAUAUGAGGCUUAUGGUCAGAAAUCAACCGAGAAAAAUGUCAAUAGAGCAGCUAACUAGACCUGUUGAAGCUGUGAAUACAUUAUUAAACUUAGAACUCUAAAUUAGACGCCAAAGUGAACAUAUACCACAAAGUUUCUAUUGCAAUUGUAAAACAAGAUCGUACUGGACGAGCACAAGAGAGGGUGAGUACACACCACAAGUGAACACACACAAAGUAGCGCAAGUUGAAACCACAAAAACCAAAAAGAGAAGAGCGAAGACUGUAUAUCCAAUUUUGCUUACAAAAUUGAAGAUAACAAAAGAUGCAAACAGCAACAAACACAACUAAAGUAUAAAAGCAGGCACAUUCUUAUACAGUUAUAUUGCCUCAAGUUGAUAACUUGUACAGCAUUCCCUUGUUAUAUUUUUGUUGGUAAAAUUCAAUAUUCGAACCCAUGACCUCUAGCACAAAACUAUGUCACACUGUCUAAAGUCAAUCUCUUUUGUUGUAUGUAAAAUUCAAUAUUCGAACCCACGAACUUGAGGUUUGGAAUGUUAAAGUGUUCUUAUCACAAAGCUACUAUGGUCACAUUGGUCUAAAGGCUAUGUAUGUCUUUUUUGUAAAAUUCAAUAUUCGAACCCAAGACCUUGAGGUUUCAAACGUUAAAGUGUUCCUACUACCACAAAGCUACUAAAAAGGCUAUAUCUUUGUAACUCAAGAGGCGGCGAGAGGAGGGAAAGGAGUAAACCUGGGCCUUAUCAGCAAGACGAACGACGAGGCGGCCAACAGGGAGAGGAGACUCAUAGGUGAAAGAGUGAUUGAUGGAUUCAGAUCUCAUGUAACGCGAGAGCACACGGCCAUCGGCGGUGAGUCCAGCGAUGGCGACACCGAUGUGGUCAUCGACUUUGAAGAUCUUCCUUUGGUGAGAAGAGAGCUCCGACUGGGCUUUAUUGACGGAGGCGAGGACGACAUGGGAGCGAGAUCUGAGCCCGAUUGCGGCGGAGCCUUGCUUGACGGCUUCCAUGGCGUACUCUACUUGGAAAAGACGACCGGUGGGACUCCAUGUUGUCACGUCUGUGUCGUACUGGUUCCUGAACAUCCUUGCUUCUUCUUCUUCGUCUUUGUUCGUCAAAAGAGUGUGUAUAGAGAGAAAGACGCAGUGAAAGAGGAAAAGCUUUUCGUUUGGUUUGGUUUGGUUUCUCUUUGAAGGGACGUAGAUGGGCUCUUAUAAGACCUAGAUGGGCUUACAUAAAUCUAAAAUGCCCAUAGAAAAUAGAGCAAUUGGCGUGCAUUGCAGAAAAUCAUGUAAACAAAUGCUCAAGUCUUAUUUGAAACUGAGUAUAAUUGUGGUUAUUUACCAUUUAAUCAUUUCUCUUUCUUAUCGCUACUUCCUACUCCCUAGAGUUUAACUUAUAGCAAGAGCCGGCCUUGGAAACAAAACGAAGCUUGUGUUUCUGGCCGCCAAAUAUUAAGAUAAUAACCAGCCACAUAUGGACAGUAAAUUCUCAGUAGCAUAGUGGUUGGCGUGUGGUUACAAGUAUUACAGGGUAGCAUAUUACUUGUAGUUGGCUUUGCUUAUAGCAGACUAGUAAUAUUUAUAUAAUAUUUUAGUUAUAUAUUUAUCUCAUAUUUCAUUUAUAACUAGGUGUUUUUAGCACUAUGUGCAGUAAUAAUUUUUAAAAAUUUAAAUCAUCUUUAAAAUAAAUUUUAUUAACAUUUUAGAUUUUAUUAUUUUUACCAAUAUUUUAAUAUAAAUUUAAUUUAAUUAAACAUAAAAUUAAGAUAAAAUACUGUUUUCUUUAUUUUAAAUUAUAUUUAAGAAUAUAUAUAUAUAUGUAUAUUUUUAAAAUUUUAACCUUAGAUAUAUUUUUCACUCUAUUUUUUUUUUGGUUAAAAAUAUUAAUCAACUAUAAAAUUAAUAAAAAAAUGAUAUAAAAUUAUAUCAUUAUCAAAAAUUAAAACUAAACAGUAUUUAUAAAAUUUAUGGGUAUAUAAAAGAAACUAAUGAUACUAGGAUUAAAAAAUUAUAAGUUUUUUAAAAAUUGUAGAAAAUUUUACAAAAUUUAGUAAUAAAAAUUAUAUAAUUCUAAAAAGUAAAUUACAUAAUAUUAUGCAUAAGCCAUGUCAUCAACUUUAGUAGCUAUGUCUCAUUUUUUAUGUAAAAAUGAUUGUAGAAAAUGAUUGUACGUAGAGAGAACAUGUGAUAAAUCACUUCUAAAAUAAUGUCUAUGGGAUCUAAUUUUCUCUUUCUUUUUCAGGUGCUUUUGUUCGACAGAAUUACAAAAGUUAUAAUCACUACUGAAGGAAAAGAUGAAGAUGUUGUCCUUAAUAUGUAUGUAGUCAUCCUAUUUUUCUGCUCAUUUCGAUAUUUUUUUCUAUUCUCUAAGUAAUUUUCUUUCGCACCUCAUGUGAUCUUAGUACUUAUAAAAUCAAAUUUGUGUCUAUUUGAUAAAGACUGGAAGCAGUUAAAGGAGAGAGAGGAGCUGGCUGUGAAAGCCAAAAGGUUUGAUGAUAGUAAUGAUAUCAUAAAUUGUUUUGUUGAGUUUGAAUUAACUCAUUGUGCCGAAUUGGCUCAAUUUGUUUAAAAAAAUGAAGUCAAUAUAUUUUAGAUUUUAUAUAUAAGAAUGUUUAUUUUUACCAGGUAUGUGUUUUUAAUAAUUGAAGGUUGUGUAAUUUUAUAAAAGGAUAUCACUUACAUUUUUUAGUCUAAAUUACAUAUAAAAAUGAUGAUUAGGUAAAUUUGUUGAAAAAAUUAAGUAUAACUUGUAAGUUAAUAUCAAGUUGACAUGAAAUACUCUGAUUUAACCAUAUAUUCUAUUUAAAUAGAAAUCAACAUAACCUUUACUCUGACCUCAGUGGAUUCUUUCAUCAACGUAACUUCACGAACAUGGAAUACCAGACAAUUCUGUCUUUGGUAGAUCCCUAGGAUGUGAAUAUUAUUGAAAGUAUACCAUUGAGCUUGACUCGUAUAACAUACAGAGAUGGAUGUCAUUUUACCAAUAAUGGAAAAUACACUGUGAAAUAUGGAUAUCAAGUGGAACGAUUUUUUCCCGACAGAGAAAAAGCGCACUGAAGGCUUUUUGUUGGAAAGUAUGUUACUCCCUAAAAAUAAAACACUUCCUUUGGCAACUAGUAUCAGAAUGUAUAUAUAGCGGUUAAGAAAAACUUGAGAGCGAGACAUAUUCAGUGUGAUAUAUAUUGUGUCAGACAUAGAGCAAUUGAAGAAACAAUAAAUCAUGUGUUUUUUAAAUGUCCUCCAGCGGUGCAAGUUUGGGCACUUUCAUAGAUCCCAUCAAAUCAAUAUAUUUUUCCGGUUCAAUCAUUCUUUACAAAUAUGAAUCAUCUGUUUUGGAUAGUUUCUCCGCAUAUGGAAAACCAUAAACUUGCUUAGGUUUUAUGGUACAUUUGGAGAGGACGAAACAACAAAGUUUUUAGUAAUUUGGAUACUGAUCUGAGGGAUACUCUCAAAUUGGCAGAGACAAAAUCAUUACUUUGGGCAGAGGCUCAAGAUACUCUUACUCAGAGGGUCGUCCAAUCUAGGGAUGUAGAAGACUCAAUUUUACCUUCCAUACCGAGAAGAUGAUGUUUUACGGAUGGAUCAUGGAAAGAAUAUGAAAGUCAUUCGGGACACAGUUGGUAUAGCAUGCUUGAAGGCUUUCAUGAACUGAUGGGAGCAUGCAAUACCAGGGCCAGUCUUUCACCCCUUCAUUCGGAAAUAGAGGCGCUUAUUUAGGCAAUGGAAUGUGAGAGGAAUUUAAGGCAAUAUCAUGUCAGUUUUGCAAUGGAUUGUUCUCAAUUGGUGAAGAUGGUUUAUGAACCAGAAAAAUAGCCAGCCUUUGCAAGUUAUUUGGAAGAUAUCAAGUUCCUAAAAUGAUGUUUCAACCAUUCAGACCUCAUUCAUAUACCUAGAACACAUAAUACCAGGCCGAACAGCCUCACACACAGUGCGAGGAGACAACCAUCGUUCGUCGUUCAUAUGGAUGCAGAAUUACCAGCUUGGUUUGCAGAGUCUUCAUGAGUCUGUUUAUGUCGAUGACAAAAAAACAUAUUUGAAGAUGAUAUUUUAUUUCAUUUCACUUGAUAUUAGAACAAAUUAUAGUUAUAUAAUCUUAUAAAAGGAUACCAAAAGCAUAUUCGACCUAUUAUAUAGAAACAUUGACUUAUUUUGAGAAGCUUAAAUACAAAUCAUAGUAAAUAUGUACGUCAAACUAUCUGUACUCUGACAUUUCUAGAUCCUCCAUAAGUUAAUGUCGUUGUACUCCAACUUCUCUAGAUAUUCUACAUUUUUUUAUUUAUAAAUACCAGUUACUUGAUCAGUUGAUGGAUAUGUUAUUUUAUUAAAAGAUAUUUCUAAAAGUAUAGUUAUGUGAUUGCACUAGUGAUUAACCAUUUUUUAGAAAGCUUGUCAUGUAUGGAUUGUUGGAUGUAAAAAGUCUACCCGUACAAGGAAACAUAAAAGUAGCUCUCUAAAAAAUCACAACAACAUAAUAUUGAAAAGGUUGUUAGCUGGAUAAAACUUUCUAAGUACAACUAAUAUUAAUUUUAAUUGUACUUAAAAGGUUUUAUCUGGUUAACAACCCCUUUCAAUCUUAAUAUAGUUUUCAUUUGAAAAUUGUGUCAAUUUGAACAUUUUGAUGAUCAAUCAUGCGCAUUUAUUAAAAGAAGGAAAGCUCUAGAUGCAUGUAAACUAUUAUUUUUAGUAAAAAAUAGUUACAAGGAGAAAACACUUUGAACAUGUGAAAACCAAAUGUUUUUCUGUAAACUAAUACUAGUUUAUUAUAUAUGCAUGUAACAUAUCAACCAAUUUUUGUGUGCAGAAAAAUUGUUAGAAUUAGUGUAAGCAUCAACUAAAAAUAGUUUUAAUAAUCAUGGUCAUAUCCACGAGAUCUAACAUCUUCAUUAGUGGCUUCUCAUGUCAACAACUUUUCCUAUGCCACAAUCACUGGAACCACCCACCACCACCACCACCCAUUUUAAUAAAGCUAUCAUCUUUUUACAUUCUAGUAAGGAACCAAAAUUGCAUCAGCUUCUCCAUUCCCUUGAUCCCUUUCACUCUCAUCAAAGAGAUCUUGUUGCGGAUUCCCUUAUCAAUCAUCCUUUUAAUCACUGGUAGUGGCAAUAACUUAUCACCAUGCAUAAGCUUGUUACGCUCUCUCCAUACUGCAUACAGAACUUCUUGGAAAGCAUAUCUUAUACAGAAGAGGCUCAUCUUUUCUCUUUUCUCAUCCAAUAGAAUAGCCAAGAUCUCAGACCAGAUAACUGUAUAGGAGUCUCGUAAAAUACCUUUGGCUAUAAACUCCCAUAUCUGUGCAUAGUAAUCACUUUCGAAGAAUAAGUGACUCCUCGUUUCUGCAGCAUUUUUACAGAGCACACAUGUAGUGUCCAGUCCCUGGCUCCAUCUUGAUGCUCUGUCUAAGGUCGACAUUCUAUCUCUUAUCAACAACCACACCAUGAAUGCAAACUUUGGAGUUUCUUGAGAAAACCAUAUACCCCGAGCCCAAGAGCAUUGUGUCUUACUCUCUCUGAGCAACAACCAAGUUUCACUAGUUGAAAAUCUUUGUUUAAAUCCUGAUUUCCCUUUCCAUAGACUCACAUCCUUUCUCUCUUGAUUUAGCUUUCCCCCAAUAAUAAUCAACUCCUCCUCUAUUUCAAUGAGUAAACUCAUACGGUGUCAUGCGUCUCCUUCUAGUAUUUAACACAGCUUCCUCCAAAGUCGCAACCCUACUCACUCCCAAGUCGAUAAUGCCUCGAGGCCCUAGCAAAUCAAAGAGAGCUCCCUUAUUCGACCAGUUAUCAAACCAGAAAGAUAUAUGUCUUCCAUUACCCAGCUAUUUCUUGUGAAACAUCUUUGCAACUUCUCUAAGUUUCAAUAUUUUACGCCACAUCCAAGAUCCAUUCUGAGUAUUGACGCUUAAUUUCCAGAAACUUUUCCCUUUCAGAAAAUUUUCUUUGAUACAUUUACCCCACAGCGAGUCACCCGAUAACAUUAUCCAUAUCAACUUAAGGCCAUAUACCUUAUUAACUUCCUUUAGAUCUCUUAGUCCCAGACCACCUUCACUCUUCAUACUACAGACAUCUCUCCACGCUACUUUGGCAUUUGACGACUUAAGUAUUGGUCCUGUCCAAAGAAAUGUUGCGCAUUGCUCCACCUCUUUAAUACAAGCACUUGGGAGACUAAAUACUACUAACCAGAAGUUUGAUUAGACUCAUUAAAACUUGUUUUAUUAACUGCAGUCUACCGGCAUAUGACAAGAAUCUGCACGUCCAAGAGCUUAUUCUGCUUCUGAUAUUUUCCAGUAGCGAAAGAUAGUCUUGCUUCCUCAUCACUUGGGUCAUAAGGGGGAGUCCCAGAUACCUCACUGGAAGUUCACCUUCAGCAAAUGGGAAGUUAGUUAAGAUACUCCUUUUCUCUGCCUCCGGUACUCCUGCCAUAUAUAUUGUAGAUUUCUCUAGGCUAAUUUGUAACCCUGACCACUCUUCAAACUCAUCAAACACAGAAAGGGGCUCCCUCUAUAGACUUUUUAGAACCUUCAACGAACACCAUUAAGUCAUCUGCAAACAAAGAUGUGUUCUAGAAAGCUUCUUACAUCCCGGAUGUAGUUUGAACUUCUUAUCAGCCACUGCUCUAUCUAUUUUUAAAGAUUGCACGUUCAUAUAGAGAACAAACAAAUACGGAGACAGAGAACAUCCCUGACGAAGACCCCUCGAGCUUUGGAAAUAGCCAGCUAGAUCACCAAUGACUUGCAGAGAACAGGAUGGGCUUGUGAUACAUAGCUCAAUCCAAUGGAUAAACCUUUCCGGGAAACCCAAUACCCUCAAACUCUUCAGAACAAACUCCCAUUGCACCGAGUCGAAUGCUUUAGCAAUGUCAAUCUUCAUAACACACCUUGAAGACACUGCAUCCUUGUGAUAACCCUUAACAAGCUCAGAUGCAAGCAGCAUAUUCUCCAUGAGAAGUCUACCUUGUAUAAAAGCCGGCUGAGUCUUUGUUAUGAUUCUUGGAAGUAGCUUCUUCAGUCGAUUUGCCAAAAAAAUUGACACAACCUUAUAGAGUACGUUACAGCAUACAAUAGGAUGGUAAUCUUUCAUCUCCAUCGAAUCAAAUUUCUUAGGAACUAACGCAAGAAUUGUCGAAUUAACACCCUUUGGCAAAAACCCAAAUCUGAAGACUGAUUGUACCGCAACAAUGAAAUCCUGAGAUAUAACCGACCAAGCUGUUUUGAAAAACCCACACGGGUAGCCGUCUGUCCCUGGAGCCUUGUUGUUCGGCAUAGCAAAGAGAACUUUCUGAAUUCCAUCUUCAGUAACUUUUGCUUCAAGAAUACUACAAUCCUCAGAUGAGCAACGAAACUUUAGCAAUUCCUGUAACUCCUCCUCAGAUGCACCCUUGUAAUUCUCUGGCUUGUGAUUUAGAAAUUCUGAAAAAAAAAUUCUCUGCCUCUUGCUUUAUCUCUGAAUGUUUAGUCACCACUCUUCCAUAUGUACAUCUUAUCUCCCUGAUCAUGUUCUGAGCUUGUCGGGUUUUGAUAGCUCGAUAAAACGUCUUAUUAUUCUUAUCUCCACUAUCUAGCCAAUGUAGCUUCGCUUUCUGCUUUAAGUAUUCUUCUUCUAGACUUGCCACAUGUAGGCAUUUACCAUAUGUUUAUGCCUCCUCUUUGACAGAUGCUUCGCUCGGAUUUGCUAGUGUGUUACUCUGCUUCACACAUAGCAGAUCAUACGCCUCUUUUGCUCGAAUUGUUAAGUUGCCCAUCUUAUCUCUUCCCAACUCACGAAUCAACGGCUUCAAAUGCUUUAACUUCUUUGAGAAUCUGAACAACGCCGAGGUAGAGUGAAACAGUCUUUUCGUUGUAUCCCAAUACCUCUGGACCAUAGGAAGAAAGUCAGGCAGGCUACCUAUCACAUUGAUAUACUUGAAGGGUCUUUUGACUUUCUCACUCGGAGGAAACAGUUGAACUUUGCACCUCAUGUGAUCCAAACAUCCCCCUGCUUCAAAAACUGCAUAAGCAUUACUAAAUCUUUGCAGACCCUCUUUAUUUAGUAAUACCCUGUCCAGCUUCUUGCAAAUUACUCCAUCCUCCCUCUUAUUACUCAUGUAAACUGUGGCCCUUGAUAAUGUCAGAGAGCUGACACUGAAGAACCAAACUCUGAAAGUCUCUCAUUCCACACGGGAUCCUACUCAUGUUAUCAAACCUCGAACUCUCAGCUCCAUCAAGAAUUUCAUUAAAGUCUCCCAUGAUCAUCCAAGCUUUAUUUUUGAAGCUAGGAGAACUAUGAUGAUGCACAAGAUCCUCCCACAAUUCCUUCCCACCCUCUACUUGAUUACUCACAUAUAUACAUCAGCAAUAGAACUUUUCUUCUCCUUUCAUCUCCACCAAACAAAUGACUAUCUGAUCAGAUUUAUAUACAGGCAUCAUACGAAUCGUAUCUCUCCAUAAUAACCAUAUUCUUCCUCCUUGGCUAUCUUCGUAAUUUGUUAUUGAUGACCAAUCUCCAAACAGUACUCCUCUUAAAAUCUUCCAUGCUUUCCCUUCCUUAACUCUAGUUUCCAAUAUACAACCAAACUUCAACUCCUUAUUAUAUUUACCCACUCUUUUACUAUGGAAUGCUUCAAAUCUUUAUUGAAUCCACGAACAUUCCAGAAAAAGCACGUCAUUUUUAAAGAUUUCACCGAGAAGACCUUUUACUCUUCGGCUGAACCUCAUGAGCCUUGGUCUUCUGAACUCUUCUUCCACCUCUUAGUUUUACUACCUUGUUUUUCUCUUCCAGGAUCUCAUCCUCCAACAAAUCUCCUUCCAAUAUAUUUGUAUUCUCCGCUUCCUCAUGUUCCUCACUCUCCACUUCCUGUGAUUCUUCUAGUUCACCCUCCUCAACUUCAUCUAUUGAAAGAACAUAAUACUUUGACGCCGAGAUUUGGACUUCACUAGCAUCUCUCUGCAGAGAAUUUUGCACUCUCCCUAUUUUAUCUGGUGAGACAAGUGACCAACCACUACCUCUCACCUGUUUUUCCCCAGUGCCUACCAUUUCAGCCUUAUUAACUUCUCCAAUAGAAUCAUCCUCCGAAAUGACUACCUCCCGGUUCUGUAACUCUUCCUCCUGUUUACUAUCUUUCUCCCUCAACCCUACUAUAGCUUCACUUCCCACUUUAUCACAAUUCUUCUCACCAGUUUCCUUCCCCUCUAUCUUCUUAUCUCUUUUCUUCCUCACACAAACCUUGUCUGUAUGUCCCCAUUUCUCGCACAAGUUACAUCGAGAAGGUAACCAUGUGUAAUAAAAUUCAGCAGUGAACUCCUUCCCUCCCAUUGUGAAAUCAAUCUCCUUAGGCAACGUCUUCGAAAUAUCAACAUUCACAAACACUUUCGCUUCUUCAUAUUUUGAACAAGACAUUGUCUUUGGGUGAAGACGAACAGGAAACUCCACAGUACUCGUCAUGAAGCUUCGAGCCUCCCAUGAGAACGUGUUCAGAGGAAUCUUUCUUAAAUGCACCCACAUUGGUAUAGCUUCCUCCUCCUGCUUAUCCUCUUCUACCUUAGGCGUCCAUUUCUUCACAACCAUAGGAACUCCAGCUAUAUUCUACAUUGGUAUAGUCUUCAUGGCUUUAGCUUUUGGCUUUUAUUAUUUCCUCUGUUUCUACGAUAGUUUCUUCUUUGCUUUCAACUGACCCCCAUAACCUAUGUUGCUUCCUGCUUAAUUAAAAAUCCAAUCAAUAUCCACCACUAAAUAGUCAAACUCUUACCGAGAUUGUCUUGUUGUGAACCUCAGCAACCAACCCAUGUGCUUGAUACCAUGUUAAAGUUCAUAGAAAGAACUUUAAAAACCUCAGCCUUCUUCUUAAUCGACAUUGAAAGAGCAUGAAAUAGUGUGUUGCAAGAGCUUAGCUUAAUGUAAACUUGAGUAGUAUCUGAGUUGAUGAAAAGCUGCACAUUUCUCACUUUGGUUUCUCUGACAUCCAAAUCAGUUGAGACCAAUAUAAAUUUCAAUGUGGUAUUAGUCAGGUAAUUGAAACCUAGAGAAGAAUAACACAUGAAAGGAGUCCAUCAGAGACAGAUAGGCUAAGAAUAACACAAAUGUUAAGUGUAGGCACAAUUCACACUACUUAACGCUUACACUUUGUAGUUCACCUAAAGGAUAAAAUAGGCUAAGAAGUGCCUCGUUGAAUGUUGUACCAGAUAUUUUCGGAUUAUUAACUGCAUAAAAAAGUUAGACACAUUUCCAAAGAGGAAAAGAACAUUACGAUGUAGUCUCUAUAUAUAUUUACAAAUGUCGUAUAUAGUAAAUACCAAGUAAUAUAGACAAAAACGAAACGGAAAGAAAAAGUUCUUGCGAUUCAUUUGGAGAAACAAACAUUGACACUAAGAGAAAUGGAUCUAAUAAAGUAAGAACCCUUAUCAUACAAUUUUGUUUUCCCUUGAAGUUCGGAAUGUAUAAACGGAUCUACGAAACCUUCAUGGUUAAGCUUCCCGUCCACCUUGAGGCGACGAAGUAGCAGUUCGUAAUAUGGCAUUCAAUCAAGGUUCCCACUACAUUUUCUUUAGUUCAAGCAACCGAUGUUAUUGGAUAACACCAACACAGAUUUUCGAGGUCUCUCAAAAUUGAACCUUUACCAGUUUUUCUUCUAAUAUUUUAUUUCAUCGAAACCAAAAAGGAAAGAAAAAGUUUUUGCAAUUCAUUUGGAGAAACAAACAUAUACAUGAAGACAAAUUCUAAAUAGAAAAAAAAACAAUAUUGGAUAAAAUAAAGGACCUUGAGAGCGUGAGGGGAUCACCAACAUCUGUCAAGCUCUGCAUCUAAGGUGGAUUGUUCUGUGUGGAUCCUAGAUCAGAGACAAUGAAUCAAAUCCAAAAAUCGGUGAAUAAAGUCAGCGGUUAAUCUUGAGAGCGACAACGACGGAUCUGGAAGUUCUGAUGUUAGAGACGACGAAUGGGCUUUAUAAAACAAAAACCAGACAUCGAAUAUAAGCAAAAGCCCAAAAAAAAUUAUAAACCUAAACAAAUAAAAUGGUGAGUUUUGUUAAAGCGGACAGGUGUCGCUCCCAGAACGCACGACUUAGUGACAUGGCAGCACCAGGAGGGAGCAAACAUCUUUUUAUAUAAUGGAUAAAAGAAAGGACCUUGAGAGCGUGAGGGCAUCACCAACAUCUGUCAAGCUCUGCAUCUAAGGUGGAUUGUUCUGUGUGGAUCCUAGAUCAGAGACAAUGAAUCAAAUCCAAAAAUCGGUGAAUAAAGUCAGCGGUUAAUCUUGAGAGCGACAACGACGGAUCCGGAAGUUCCGAUGUUAGAGACGACGAAUGGGCUUUAUAAAACAAAAAGCAGACAUCAAAUAUAAGCAAAAGCCCAAACAAAUUAUAAACCUAAAUAAAUGAAACGGUGAGUUUUGUUAAAGCGGACAGGUGUCGCUCCCAGAACGCACGACUUAGUGACAUGGCAGCACCAGGAGGGAGCAAACAUCUUUUUAUAUAAUUAGAUAAUUAGAUAUGCAGAUUCACUUAUCCACAAUAUGAUGUACACACAUGUUCAAACUCACUUUCCACUUUGUUUUAUCCAUGCUCAGGUGUCCAUUUUGUUUUGUCCACUCUCACUCAAACUUCAAUUUUAGACUAUCUACAAUGAGCUAUUGAAUAAUAAAAAAAAAUCAAUAGUUGAAAAGACAAUGGUCUAUUGAAAAACAAGUUGAAUCAUACUUAUAUUAAAUAAAUUUGAAAGAAUUUAACAAUGUUGAAUCGGUAAAGUGGAGCCAGAGUGAAGCCAUCAAUGACCACCUUUCAUGAAGUUAUUGGCUAUAGAGAUUUCUGAUUUGUUUUUCGUCUGAAUUAAUUGAGAUAAAUUAUUUCAUUAAAUAAUUUUGAAAAAAUAUAUUUUUACACCAAGAUUAUCAUGUUUCAUAUUUUAUAAAUAGAGACUUGCUCCAUUUAAUUUUGAAACAAAAAAAACUUAUCUAUUUCUACUAUAUUUUCUAGUAGACUACAAUAAACUCUUGUUUAUAUAUUUUCCCUUUUUCAGUGAAAUGAAUCCCAAAAAUAACUUUUUAACACCCAAAGUUCUACUAAUCAUCCUUUUAACUAUCCAAAUCCAACAACUAUCAGUUUUAAAAUAUUGGAGAAAUGAAUUGGUGCAUACGACAACGCUAAGUGUAUGCAGCAAGGUAUUAGUCGAAAAUGAUAUAUUGGCGCAUGAGCUAUAUUAGAGUGAUAAGAAUGGGCAUUUUAUUUAAUGUCAGAAUGAUGGCUCGCUGUCUGUGAUCAACCACGUUAUGGUAGUCAAGUAUGAGGAAAUACUGGUUUUGGAAGCAGUGGAUUUAAGAGAGCCCAUGAAAGUGAUGCUCGAAACUCCAGAUCUGUAAAAUUUAGUGCUCGUCCAAUGGGGAUGAAUGCAUAUAAGAAGAAAAAAAGAUAAAAAUAUGGGCUCUUACCAGCCUUGGAUGUGGUCAAUGAAAAUUUCAUUGAAUUCAAACAAAUCAAAGGGCAAUAGUUGUAACACUUGAAAAAAUUAGUCAUGUUGCAAAAGAAUUGAAACCAAAGGUGAAAAGAGGCAACCCAAAGGAAAGAAGAAGCAAACAAAUUAAUGAAAUAAAAGAUUCGGUCUACGAAUAUAAAGAUGUGGUUGAAGUCAAGUGAAAAGGUACAUCUCAGUAACAAGAGCAGAGAAAUGUCCCAACAGUUGAGCCACAAAUUAUUUGGAAAUUAAUUGUAGUCCCAAGUGGAUGUUUAUAUCAUGUCACUUCAUGCUUGUUUGUAUCAUGUCACCUCAUGCUUUAAUAAUGUUUGUUUGCUACUUUUUCUUUUAAUAAUGUAACAUGUGACUUUUGGCUUUUAUUGAGAAAAUCUUAUCCUCCAAUCACUCAACAUGCUUUAAGCAUUGAAUGUGGGGCAUAACAAAAGAAGAAAAAAAAUAACAUGCAUCGGACUUUACAUUUAGUUUUCAUUCAAACUUAAAAACGUAGAAUCAUUAACAAUAAUAAAAUAUAAAAGUACUUGCAUGAAGAAUAAACUUUUUUAUAAAAAUCUUUCCUACAGGAAAUGGUAAAAGAGUGGGUUGUCGACUCUGGGCACCAAUGCAUGUCUAUCUUUUUUUCUUUUUCUCUUUGUCUAUAAAAAUACUACACACUCUUCAUUUUCUUCUUUCAAAGGGCAUUCAUUUCAAAUGACAACUGCAUCUUACUAUUGCGAGAACCUUGCAAGAAACAACCCCCAUCCCCCUUCCGCCCAAUCAAGUACCAGUUGCUUCGCAGCGCGGGUAGCCUCAAAUCAAAAAUCUUCUCUACUCAUAAUUUUUUUUUAUUUUCUUGUUUUAUAUAAAAAUUUAAGAUGAAGUUUUAUAUUAUGUUUAACUGAUUUUUCAUAUUUUUUAAGGUUGUCUCAUAUGCUUCUUUCCACCAAACAAUUCAAAAAUCAGAUACAUUUUUUUUGUUUCUUCAAUAAAUUAUGAAACUUCUGAAUUUUUUAAAAUAAGUUAAAUUUCUAUUCGAUAAUACUCAGUAAAAAUCAACCUGUUAUUUACAAAUAUAUUAUAACAUAUGCAAGCAUUUCAAUCAUCUAUAUAAUUUUAAAUAUUAUCUAUAUAUAUAUAUAUUAGUUUUAUGAAUUUAUGCAUGUUAUUGAUAUAAAAAUAUUUUUUUAUAAUAAAUUUAUAUUUGUAUAGUUAAUUAAUAUUUUACAAAAUGAAAUAGUAAAUAUAAUUUUUAUUCGUUCAUAUAUGUACUAUAACACAUGCAUGUAUUUUAAUCUUAUGUAUAAUUGGUUUUUUAAUUUUUUAUCUUCAGUUUUCUCUUAUAUUAAUAUUUUAUUAAAUAUUAUGGUACAUAAUUAAUUUCUAUAGCGAAUUAUAAAUACUUUAAUAGGUAUAACAUUUGUUUAAAUCUUAUGUAUUGCAAUUUAAUUACAGUCAAUAAUUAUUACCCAUCCGUUUUGAUUUACUUGUUAUUUUAGAAAAUCACGCAGAUUAAGAAAAUUAAUAUUUUUUCUGUUAUACCCUUAUCAAUCAAAUUUAUUUACAAGUUUAGUUAUCUAUUUAAUAUUUUAAAUUAGUUGUAAGAAAUAAUUUUCUUGUCGAAUAUUUUGGCUCUUAGCAUUCUUCACCAAAUUAUCUUUAACUAUUAGUUCAAUGAAUUAAUUAAAUUGACUACAUACUCCUGUUAACAUCAAUAUAUUUAGAGGGAAACUAAAAUUUUUACGUUUAAUUAUACGCAAAAACAAAACAUAGUGGAGGCAAGUAAACAGUUCAAAACUUUUGACAAUCAGUAUAUAAACAAAUCGUGCGAUAACAAAAGUAUCAAUGGCUAAUUCUGGUCAAAACCUUUUUACAUUCAACAAAUAAAAAGCAUUAUUUUGAUUUAAAAAAUCGUGUGAUAACAAAAGUAUCAGUGCCAUUUUCUGUCAAAAAUAAUUACUGAAAAAAUAUAAAUAGGCUUGUUAUCUUUAGAUUAUAAACAGUCUGGGCAAUUUUAACAUACAUGUUGACCACAUUGGAAAAGAUAAGAAAAAUAUUUCAUUGUAGAAAAUGGCGGUUGAGAUGAUGUUAAACGAAGAUUUUUUGAAGUAUAGUUAGUUAAUUUAAAACAUUUUGUUAUUUUAUAUUAAAGUUAGAAUAGUUAUUUUCUUGUAUAAAUCAUAUUGAAAAACGAGAAUGACGCUUAAUUUGUGACAAAAAUCAAACCUAAAACGACAAGUAAAUCGAAAUGAUGGCAGUAAUAUAUAAUCAGAAAAAGAAACAUAUAAGAACGUAAAAUUAUGAAAAAAAAAUUGUAGGGUAUUUUUCAACAAACCAUUGUGAAAUAUAAAAAAUGAGUGGGUAUUGAAUUAUUAUGUAGACGAUAGAAACGAUGACGGGGAAGAGAGAGCAGAUAAUGUUGAGUGUAUGAAAUGUUGAAAUCAUUGUGGAUAAUGUUAGACUAUCUACAAUUGUGGGUAAAUUUACCACCCUCAUUUUUUUUUAUUUUUUAACACUCUAUAUCAUUUUCUCGUUUUUCCACCUAAUUAUUCAACAACAAUUUCAUUUUUAACCAUACAAUAGUUUUGUUUAAUAAAAUUCAACAUCAUACCCCAUAAUUUUUAAUUCAUAAGUUUUUAUUGUUUAUAAUUUAAACUAUAUUAAUAAUUUGAUUAUAAUUAACUUAAAUAAUUAAAGUAUCAAAGUUUUUACUAAUUUUUAUUUAUAUCCUUCACUAAGUUUUGAAUAUCAAUAGUACAACUAAUACUAUUAAAAUUCAACUAUGUUCUAAUUAACACACAAAAAAAAACUGCAAUAUAGUGAAAACAAUUAUUUUCUGGUGUCCAAAUCAAGGAAACCAAGUCUUUAUCUAUAGAAUAUAAAAAGUUAUGAAUUUUGAUAUAACUUAUUUUAAAAAACAUAUUAUUUGAUAUACAAUAAUUGAUCUUAAAAACUAUGGUGAAAUAAAAAUCUAUAAAAUCUAAACAACUACUAAUAUAAUGACAUGUGUACCAAUUCACUCAUUUUAAUUUUUUUUUAAAAACUAAAAAUUCAUUUUUGAUAACUUUUUAUUUAUUUAAGUGUGUCUUAUAGUGAUCAAGAUAACUUUGUGGGUUCUACUGUUGGCUCUUCCAACAGGUUGAAUCCACAUCAUAUUUUUAAGUUUUUCAACAGAUUCAUUGUGGGUAGUUUUACACCAUUAACAAUGAUUACAUGAUUCAACACCCUAUUUUCAUCUUUUUAACAUUCACAUCAUCUUCUCUCUCUCUUCCACACAAUCAUUCAACAACCACUUUAUUUUUGUAACAUCUACCAUAUUUUUGUUUAAUAAAUUCAACACUUUACCCACUAUUUUUUAAUUCAUAUUUUUAUCCUUUACAAUAUACUAACUAUUUAUUAAUAAUUUUUUAUUAUAAUUAAAAUAAAUAUUUAAAAGGACAAAACAAAUUACCAUUUUUUUCAAGUUGGAUAUUCAUAUAUUUUAAAAAAUAUAUUAUUAAAACAAAUGAAAUCAUUAAAAUUACUCAUACCACCAAGAGGUAUUGGCAUAGAUAAUUUAGAAAAAUCAGUUGCUACAAUAAUAUUUCAAAUAGAAAAAAAAUAAGGUGUUUGAGAAAAAUAAAUCAUCAUUGAUCGAUGAUAUGGAAGAUAGUUUGGAAAAAUGAAGACAUGAAGAAAUUUGGUGAAAAACCAUAAUUUGGUAUAUUUUUUGGUUAAUUGAAAAUUUAGUUUUGAAAUUGAUAAUUUUGGGGAUUUGGGUAAUUACAAAGAAAAUUAGAAGAAUUUCAGAUGUUAAAAGAAUUAUUAUCUCGAUCCAUUUAUCAAAAAGAAGAUUAAAAAACCAAAAUAGUUUAUUAGAGUGAAAAAUGACGUUUUAUUUUUUAUACCCAAAUGAAAUGAAAUUGAUCUCUAUUUAUAGAUCAUAACAAAUCACGAGUUUUUGUACAAUAUUUUUUAAAUGUUAUAACACCAAAAUAGUUGAUUAUAGUGAAAAUGACGUUUUAUUUUCUGUACCAAAAUUAAAUGAAAUUGGUCUCCAUUUAUAGAUCAUACAAAAUCACGAGUUUUUGUAUAAUAUCUUUUAAAUAUUUUAGUAUAAAAUAAAUGAGUUCAAAUUAUUGGGUAAUAUUUUUGAAAAAAAAAAGAAUCUGGAAAGCCACUGAGAAUCAGAUAUGUGUCUCUAUCUAAAUACAUCAUGAGUGUUAUACACGCGUCCAACAUUUUUUCUAAUUAAAAUUUAACAAGUGUCAAAGCUGCCCCAGAAAGAAAAAAAUUGGUUGAAUACUUUCAACUUUUAUGAAUCCACGUGUUUUAUUCCCAAAAUCAACACUCUGGUUGCACGUUGUUCAACAGUUGAAUUAAUAACUUAACAUGUUCACUUUGGAUAUUCUUAUAACAUUGGUUUCAUAUCUUGUUCUACAUCGUUGAUUCAUCACUUAUUCAAUAUUAACUUCCUGGUAGUCCAUUAAAUUAAGUCUCUAGUUUUUUUUGCAUAAAAUUUGAUAAAAUUUUGUGUCUAGUUACGACACAAUGUUCACAAAACUUUAUGAAUGUAUUACACAUACGAGCACAUUUAUGUUUUUCUUACAGAUAAAGACACAUUCCACUUAAGAAGCACAUUGUGUUUUAAUCAACGAGAUUUUUGACAUAUUUACCCUUGUUCUUGAAACAGAGUGUAGACGUUCCGUUAAUAAGACUACCUUUGUUUUAUUCCCAAAAUCAACACCCUGGCUGCACGUUGUUCAACAGUUGAAUUAAUAAUUUAACAUGUUCACUUUGGAUAGUCUUAUAACACUGGUUUCAUAUCUUGUUCUACAUCGUUGAUUCAUCACUUAUUCAAUAUUAACUUUCUGAUUAGUCCAUUAAAUUAGGUCUCUAGUUUAUUUUGCAUAAAAUUUGAUAAAAUUUUGUGUCUAGUUACAACACAAUGUUCACAAAACUUUAUGAAUGUAUUAAACAUACGAGCACAUUUGUGUUUUUUUUACAGAUAAAGACACAUUCCACUUAAGAGGCACAUUGUGUUUUAAUCAACGAGAUUUUUGACAUAUUUAUCCUUGUUCUUGAAACAGAGUGUAGACGUUCUGUUAAGAAGAAAUGAGAACAAUAAGUAACUAGUUAUAGCACUUGGGUAUUAAUAUUUUAUAUAAUUAUUAUAUACUACACUGUUUUAUGUAACGGAAAACAAACCAAAUGAAAAAGACAUAGUUUAUCUUUAUUAUUAUCAUUUAUUCUACCUCUUUAUAUUUUGUUUUACUUUAUUUUAAAUUUAAAGAUAUAUAAAAAAUGCUUGAUGUAAUAAAUUAUGUUCUUUAUUCUCUAUAAUUUGUCAUCAACUUUGAUAUUUUUAUUUUAAAUUUAUACAUAAAAUAGUAUGGACUAAAACAUGGACAAAGGAGUUGUGGAUAUGAACAUUCUGAUUGUGUACAUUCCAAAAAUGACUAAAUAGUUUUAUAUGUUAGCAAUUUGAAUAUAUAAAAACAUAAAUUUUUGUUGGAGAAACCAUGUGAAGUGAAUUACGUAUUUUAUGGAAGAGAAAUAUGGUCAUAUAUGUUGUGGAUAAAUAAAGAAUAUGGGUUCAUACAUUAAGAAGACCAUUCUGCAUAUUUAAGAAUUUUGAGGUAAAAGCUUAAAUAAUCAAAAGACAAGGGACCAACAAUGCAAAAAGAUAAAACAGCACCAUUGUUGGUCUCGAGACCUCUGGCUUCUAAUCAACUUGGGCGAGUGAGGCAGGAUGGACUCCGACUCCUUUCACCAACAUGUUAUCUCGGCUAUACUUUUUCGUAUAAACCGCAAAUAAAAACCGAUGUUGUUCUCCGUUAUCUCUUUCUCUCUCUUGUUACAGAUAUGGCUUCUCGCCACUGUUUCUCUCUUUCUCUAGUUUCUCAAUCUUCAACUGAAGCAAUCUGAAAAACCAUAAUAUGAAGAAUACUUGGGUAAAUGAUAUCUUGCAUAUUUACAUUGUCUUAUCCAUUUAUUCAUGUGCAUUUUCAUCAUAUAGAUUAGGAUUUAGCCAUGUCUAGGUUGCAUUUUGCAUACAUAUGUCUCUAUCAGGUAUUUGAGUACCACAUGGAGUUUCUGGAGACAUUUGGGUGCAUUUGGAGCUCAAAGGAGGUGAUUAGAGUGGUCUUUGGACGAGCACUGCCUGAAGCGACUUCUCGGAGCGACGGCAUGAGGUCGCUGUGCACCACAUCCCGGAGCGACUCAUCCAGAGCGACUGCACAAAGUCGCUCGCGUUUUCACAUUGAGGUUGUAGAAAAAUCCCUUGUAGAUUUCAAAAAGAAAGAGUUAAAGUUCUUAGGAUCUAUUGGUGAGAGAUGUGAGUUGGGUUUGACAUUUGGGAAUGAUUGUGUAAUUGUAUGUUUGGGAAAAGGGUAGAAUAAUGGAGAUUGAGCAUUGUAUGCAUGAGUUGGUCCCUUUCUUAGAUAUAUUAUGUGCAAUGUCAAGGCUACUUGUUUUGAGAGUAAACCACCUUAAAGAUCAUAUGUUUUGAACCUCUUGAAUCACUUGAAUAAAAGCCUUCCCUUUCCCAACCAAAUGACUUGGACCAACGGACCAUUUGCAAGAAUUCACCUGAUGUUUUCUGCUUAAUGAAUGUGAGAGUUGGUUGAUUUGAAUGUGUGGAUGCUUGAUGAUGAGUGUAGGGACAAAAGGAGUUGAGAUAGGCCUAGAGAAGCUAGAGUGUAAUAAGAGAGUGUGCUAAUUAUGUUUGCUAGUUGUGUUUCUUUUGGCUAUGAGCUCCCACCUUCAAACCUCUCUCCUUAUGAGUUCUAGAAAGUUCACUUGAGGACAAGUAAAAGAACAAGUUUGGGGGAGUUGAUAUCUUGCAUAUUUACAUUGUCUUAUCCAUUUAUUCAUGUGCAUUUUCAUCAUAUAGAUUAGGAUUUAGCCAUGUCUAGGUUGCAUUUUGCAUACAUAUGUCUCUAUCAGGUAUUUGAGUACCACAUGGAGUUUCUGGAGACAUUUGGGUGCAUUUGGAGCUCAAAGGAGGUGAUUAGAGUGGUCUUUGGACGAGCACUGCCUGGAGCGACUUCUCGGAGCGACGGCAUGAGGUCGCUGUGCACCACAUCCCGGAGCGACUCAUCCAGAGCGACUGCACAAAGUCGCUCGCGUUUUCACAUCCGGAGACACACAUUUUGAUCUCGGAGCGACCUUCCAGAGCGACGUGCUGAAGUCGCUCCCGAAGCUUGGAGCGACCUUACCAGAGCGACAGGGAGAAGUCGCUCGCCAUUUUGGUUCUCGGAAACACGAAAUCGCUCUCGGAGCGACCUCUCGCAGCGACCCAGCGAGGUCGCUCCCGAAGCCUAGAGCGACGUGCUGGAGCGACUUGCCGAGGUCGCUGCGCGUCGCCUAUCUGCUCGAAUUAAUGUUUUCUCAAGGGCCUUUUUGUCAUUUUAUUAUGCACGUUUUUUAUUCUGAAAACCUAUGUUUUAAUACUCUGUAAGCCACCAAGAGGGGAUUAUCUUUGUUCUUAGAAAAACCACCAAAAACCUUUGGAAAGUCAUCUCUUUGAAUCAAUUGAUCAGUUUAUUAUUGAGAAUUCUGUGUUCUUAUCUAUUUUUCCUGUGUUUCUCUACAUGAUUAAUCUGAAAUCCAACAUGGGUUUAAGAGGAAUCAUGGAGAUUAGUGAGUAAUCCCUUUUGAAUUCAUGGGUUAGGGAGAUUGAGGGUGAUUAGGUUAGAACUAGGAUGUUUUAGUGUAGAUCAUUCAUAUUUCCUUGCUAGUUGAGUGAGCAUAAUGCAUCUUCUGAGUUGGCCACUCAGUAGUUGAAUCUUAGGCAUUUCCCCCCGAAAGGUGUUCGAGGAAAUGCCCGAGACAACUCUUUUUAGCUUUUAGCAUACUUUGCCAAAGACAUUUGUUGUUAGAGGUGCUAAGAUAGCCAUUGGACUUGCUGGUUAUGAUUGCUUUCAUAUUAUUCAACCAAAGACAUUUGAUGUUUGAAUUGUGUUAAGUAAAUGAACAUUCAUCUAGACAUAGAGUUUGUUUAGGAUUGUGUCCAAGCUUAAGGUUAAUAGAUUGAUUGAUCGUUUGCCAUCUUUAGUUCGAAACUUGAUCACCCGAGGUCUAAUCCCUAUAUCCAUGAGUUCUCUUUUCCAAUAGUUAAGAAAGUAUCAUUUAGUUAUUUCUUUUAAUUAGUCAUAGUUUAAAAACCCAUCUAAAUCAUUGAUUGCACUUAGAUUAAGUGAUUACUUGCAUUCUCGGUGCUUUGAUAUCUCUCAGAACUGGUUCGACAAUCAUUUAUACUACAGCAUUUGUCUUAGGAGCCUUGAAAACUCCUAACAUCAAAUUGGCGCCGUUGCCAAAUUCUGAGUAGAUUUAAACAUUGAGAUUUAGUCAAUUGCUUGAGACUAAGUCAUUUUUAUUUUCUUUUGUUACUGACUCUUCUUCACCUCCCUUUAAUCUACAGGUGUAUGAACUUGCGGAGCAGGGGUCCAUCAAACCUAGUUCCAAGAGCAGCAGACAUCAGAGCUUUAGAGAGAGAGUGUGCUAAAAGAGAAGAGAAGAAGAACAUCAGGCUCAAUUGCAGAGACUGAACACUGACAUGGGAGACGUUCAUCAAGAAGAUGCAGGCGUCAAUGGCGCUAACAACAAUGGUCCACCUAACCAACAGCGAGCAGCUCGACCCAUUGGCACUUACGACCGUCCAAACAUUCAUGGUCAUAGAUUGGGAAUCCGAGCACCCGCUGUGGCAGCCAACAACUUUGAGAUCAAGUCAGGACUCCUCAACGUGAUUGAGAACAACAAGUAUCAUGGCUUGGCUCUAGAGGAUCCAUUUGAUCACUUGGACAGGUUCGACAGCUACUGUGGGUUGUCAAAAACCAAUGGUGUGUCCGAAGAUGCUUUAAAGCUCAAGCUAUUCCCUUUCUCUUUGGGGGAUAAGGCACGUCAGUGGGAGAAGUCUCUACCCAGCGACUCCAUUACCACUUGGGAUGACUGCAAGAAAGCAUUCUUGGAGAAGUUCUUCUCUACUUCAAGAACUGCUAAGCUGAGAAACGAGAUCUCCAGCUUUCAACAGAAGGGCUUGGAAGGUUUCAGUGAAGCCUGGGAGAGAUUCAAGGGCUACCAAGCUCAAUGCCCACACCAUGGUUUCUCUAAGGAGAGCUUGCUGAGCACAUUCUACCGUGGUGCUCUCCCUAAGUACAGGGCCAGACUGGAUACAGCUAGUAAUGGGUUCUUCUUGGGGAGAACUGAGGAGGAUGCAGAGGAGCUGGUUGACAACAUGGUUAAGAGUGAUGCAGUCUACAGUGGAGACCACGACAGAGGCAGUAGAACUGAUGAUAAGCAGACGAGGAAGGAAUUGAAGGCUCUACAGGAUAAGAUAGACAUCCUCAUUGCUGAUAAAGCUACCCAAGAGCAGCUGCACUUUGUUGGCAACCCAAGCCAAGAGACACCAGUUGUUGUCCAUGAAGUUGAGGGUUUGGAAGGUCAGGAAGAGCUGUGUUUCAUCAACAACAAUGGUAGCUGGUACAAGAAAGAACCCAACUUUCAGUACAACAACUACCAACAGAAAUCCUAUUCCAACAACCAACAGAGUGGUUAUCAGCCUCGGAACAAUCAGCAAGGCAGCUAUCAACCUCAGCAAAACCCUCCUCCUGGAUUCAACAACAAGGGCAACCAUUCUUCCCAACAACAAUCUAAUCCCUCUACCUCCACUCCUCAAGUCAGCAGCACUGAUGCUCUACUGAAACAAAUCCUGGAGUCUCAAACAAGAAGUGAGAAGCAUGUUGGCUAUGAGUUGAAGAAUCUUCACUCAAAGAUUGAUGGGAGCUACAAUGAGCUCAACAACAAGUUCAGAGCUUUGGAGAACCAGUUUGCUGCCAUGAACACUCAACAAAAUCGCCAACAAGGUUCUCUACCUGGAAAAUCUGAGCAAAACCCCAAGGAAACCAUGAAAGCUAUCACUCUCAGGAGUGGUAAGGAGUUACCUCAGAGAACUCUCACCAAGGAUGCUGAGAAACAAAGUGAGGGGGUUGCCAUCACCAUAGAUGAUGAAGUGGUGAUUGUUGAUGAGAAGAUCAAUGACGAGAUCUUGGAAAAGAUAGUGGAAGCAAAAGGAAAAGGAAAGGUUGGAGAAGAGAAGAAAACAGUUAAAGAUGGUGAAGUUGUCACUCCUGCAAGUGAAAACUCUUUUGUUCCUCCUGCCUAUGAACCCAAGCUUCCAUUCCCAGGUCGAUUCAAGAGGCAGCUGCUAGAGAAGUACAAAGCUUUGUUUGACAAGCAAAUGAGUGAAGUCCAGGUCACAAUGCCCAUUAUUGACGCUUUCAUGCUGAUCCCUCAGUACAGCAAGUUCCUCAAAGAUGCUGUAGCUGCAAAGAAGAAAGAGAUGGAGGGCAUGGUGAUUCUCACUCAUGAGUGCAGUGCUAUCAUUCAGAGACUGGUCAUUCCAAAGAAGCUAGAAGAUCCAGGAUGCUUCACAUUACCUUGUGCUCUUGGACCUAUGGUAUUUGAUAGAUGUCUCUGCGAUUUGGGAGCUAGUGUCAGCUUGAUGCCCCUAUCUGUUGCUAAGAAGCUGGGUUUCACUCAGUACAAGAAGUGUAGACUUUCUCUGGUAUUGGCUGAUCGUUCAGUGAAGUACCCUGUGGGUAUCUUAGAGGACCUCCCAGUGAUGGUUGGAAAUUAUGAGAUCCCUACAGACUUUGUGGUGCUUGAAAUGGGUGAAGAAGCUCAAGAUCCUUUAAUCCUUGGAAGACCUUUCUUAGCCACAGCAGGAGCUAUUGUUAAUGUUAAAGAAGGCAAGAUUGAUCUCCAUCUGGGUAAAGGGCACGUUCUGCAUUUCGACAUCAAGGAAGUAAUGAGGAGGCCAACAGUUCAAGGACAAGUGUUCUACAUCGAAGAGAUGGAUGCCCUUGCUGAUGAACUCCUUGAAGAGUUGUCACUAGAGGACCCUCUACAGCAUGCUUUAACUGUAGAGAAGGAGACUGAGGUGAUUGAGAACCUGGAGAGUACUGCCUAUGGGAUGAUGCUGGAUUCACACCAGGCGUUUUUCAGUAAGGACCAGUACGAGGAGCUUCCACAGAUGGUUCACCAACAAGUCUCAGUCACUCAACAAGAGGACAACCAGCAGGAUGACUGGAGUGAACUUAAGGCACCUAAAGUGGAGCUUAAACCUCUUCCCCAUGGUGUAAGGUAUGCAUUCCUUGGUCCUAAUGAAACUUACCCUGUCAUUGUGAGUAGUGAACUUACUGAAAAUGAGCUAUCUGAACUUUUGAAAACACUUAAAAGAUUUAGAAAGGCAAUAGGUUACUCACUAGAUGACAUCAAGGGGAUAUCACCCUCUUUGUGCAUGCAUAGGAUACAUCUUGAGGAUGAAUCAAUGACUUCUAUCGAGCAUCAAAGAAGGUUAAAUCCUAACCUGAAGGAUGUUGUAAAGAAAGAGAUUCUUAAACUCCUAGAUGCUGGUGUUAUUUACCCUAUCUCAGAUUCUAAAUGGGUAUCACCUGUGCAUGUUGUACCAAAGAAAGGUGGUAUCACUGUGAUCAAGAAUGACAAGGAUGAAUUGAUACCAACAAGAACCAUCACAGGUCAUAGAAUGUGCAUUGAUUACCGAAAACUAAACUCUGCAUCUAGAAAGGAUCAUUUUCCACUACCAUUUAUUGAUCAGAUGCUUGAGAGACUUGCAAAUCACCCAUUCUAUUGUUUCCUUGAUGGGUACUCAGGAUUUUUCCAAAUCCCCAUACAUCCCAAUGAUCAAGAGAAAACGACAUUCACAUGUCCCUAUGGUACCUUUGCAUAUCGAAGAAUGCCAUUUGGACUAUGUAAUGCUCCAGCCACCUUUCAAAGGUGCAUGAUGUCAAUUUUCUCUGAUCUGAUUGAGGAUGUUGUGGAGGUAUUCAUGGAUGAUUUCUCUGUCUACGGAUCUUCGUUUUCUGCUUGUUUGUCAAAUUUGUGCAGGGUCCUACAGAGAUGUGAAGACACCAACCUUGUGCUGAAUUGGGAGAAGUGUCACUUCAUGGUCAAGGAAGGGAUUGUGCUAGGACACAAGAUUUCAGAGAAGGGGAUUGAGGUGGAUAAAGCCAAAAUCGAUGUUAUGGUUGGUCUGCCUCCACCAAAGACAGUGAAAGACAUCCGGAGUUUUCUUGGUCAUGCUGGAUUCUACAGGAGGUUCAUCAAGGAUUUCUCCAUGAUCACUAGACCUUUGACCAGACUGCUGUGCAAGGAAGCUACCUUCAGUUUUGAUGUAGAAUGUCUACAAGCUUUCAAGAAGCUGAAAGGUGAACUCGUUAGUGCCCCAAUUGUCCAGCCACCUGAUUGGGAUCUCCCUUUUGAGAUCAUGUGUGACGCCAGUGACUAUGCUGUGGGAGCUGUUCUGGGGCAGAAGAAAGAUGGCAAAACCCAUGUGAUCUAUUAUGCCAGCCAAACCCUCAAUGAUGCCCAGAUGAAGUAUGCCACAACAGAGAAGGAGAUGCUGGCAAUUGUUUUUGCCUUUGAGAAGUUCAGGAGCUACUUGGUUGGGUCUAAAGUCAUUGUCUACACAGAUCAUGCCGCCUUGAGACACCUUUUGGCCAAGAAGGAUGCAAAACCCAGGCUUUUGAGGUGGAUCCUUUUGCUCCAAGAGUUUGAUAUGGAGAUCAAGGACAAACCUGGAGUUGAGAAUGGAGUAGCUGAUCAUUUGUCCAGGUUGAGGGUAGAGUCUGGUAUCCCUAUUGACGAAGGACUUCCUGAGGAGCAGAUCAUGGCUAUCGAAGCAGUGAUAGCAGUUUGUGAGACUGGUAGGAAGCUGGAAGAAGUCAAAGCAACAGAGGAGAAGGAACCUUGGUAUGCUGAUUUGGUGAACUACCUAGCCACAGGAAGAGAACCUUUGAAUCUUGUAGGGUAUGCCAAGAAGAAGUUCUACAAGGAUGUGAAAAGAUAUUACUGGGACGAACCCUACCUCUACAUUCUCUGCAAAGAUCAGCUUUAUAGGAGAGUGGUUGCAAAUGAGGAGAUUGAUGGGAUCCUUGCACAGUGUCAUGGAUCAUCCUAUGGAGGUCACUUUGCCACCUUCAAGACAGUUGCAAAAGUAUUACAAGCUGGAUUCUGGUGGCCACACAUGUUCAAGGAUACACAAGACUUUGUUUCGAAGUGUGAUUCUUGCCAAAGAAGAGGAAACAUCACCAAGAGGAAUGAGAUGCCUCAAAAUCCAAUCCUUGAAGUUGAAGUGUUUGAUGUCUGGGGUAUUGACUUCAUGGGACCAUUUCCAUCAUCUUUUGGCAACAAAUAUAUCCUUGUGGCUGUUGAUUAUGUCUCCAAAUGGGUGGAAGCCAUUGCAAGCCCCACCAAUGAUGCUAGAGUUGUAAUCAAGAUGUUCAAGAGCAUCAUCUUCCCAAGGUUUGGAGUUCCAAGAGUUGUAAUCAGUGAUGGAGGUUCCCACUUCAUUAACAAACUGCUUGAGGGACUUCUCAAGAAGAACGGUGUGAAGCACAAGGUGGCAACUCCUUAUCAUCCCCAAACAAGUGGCCAAGUUGAGAUUUCUAACAGGGAGAUCAAAUCUAUCCUGGAGAAGAUUGUGGGGAUUACAAGGAAGGAUUGGUCUAAUAAGCUUGACGAUGCACUUUGGGCUUAUAGGACAGCGUACAAGACACCACUGGGUACCACACCUUUCAACCUAGUGUAUGGGAAAGCUUGCCAUUUGCCAGUGGAGCUUGAGUACAAGGCACUAUGGGCAAUAAAGUUGCUGAACUUUGACAUCAAGAGUGCCAAGGAGAAAAGGCUCUUUCAGCUACAUGAGCUUGAUGAGAUAAGAUUGGAUGCUUUCGAGAACUCAAGAAUCUACAAGGAGAAGACUAAGGCUUUCCAUGACAAGAACAUCCUGAAGAGAGAGUUUAAAGAAGGAGACCAAGUUCUUCUCUACAACUCUAGGCUGAAGUUGUUUCCAGGAAAGCUUAAGUCAAGGUGGUCCGGUCCUUUCAAGGUCAAGGAGGUUAGACCAUAUGGAGCAAUAGUUUUGUGGAGCACUGAUGGAAGAGACUUCACAGUCAAUGGACAAAGGGUUAAGCUCUACAUGGCUACUGCACCAGAGGAAGAUGGGGUUUCAACUCCACUGUCUGAUCCUACCCCGGCCUAAUCUAAAAGGAGGCAAAGUCAAGCUCGGGACUUAAAACAAGCUCACUUGGGAGGAAGUCCCAUGCGUAUCCUUGUACAUAUUGCAUUGGUAUUUCCAUUUUUCAUCUUAUUGCAUAAAAAAAAAAAAGAGAGAGAAGUUGUGUGCAGGUGCUUGAUCGGUUCAUUUUGAGCAGGAGUCGUGCGUGGGAGCGAGGUCUCACAGCGACACCUCAAGGUCGCUCCAGCUGGGAGCGAGGUUUCGAGAGCGACACUCCAUGGUCGCUCGCGUUUUCGUCGUCGGAUCAAGAAAAAAUCGCCUCAGAGCGAGGUCUCGGAGCGAGGCCGAAGGGUCGCUCCAGCUGGGAGCGACAUUAUGGGAGCGACACCUCGGAGUCGCUCGCGUUUUCGACGAAACGGAGCUCAAAAACUGACCCGGAGCGACGUCCUAGAGCGACACCUUGAAGUCGCUCCAGCCCAGAGCGAGGUUUCUAGAGCGACACUUCAAGGUCGCUCGCGGUUUUGUCGAAACACGACGCGAGGAAACGACUCGGGAGCGACCUCUCCCAGCGACACCCUCACGUCGCUCCCGAACCGGUCCAGGUAAGUUUCCUAACUCUAAACCCCGGUUUAAUUCAAGUAAACCGACCCUAACCACCCUAAACCGAACCGGACGACCCUAAACCUACCCCAACCCCCGCGACUCCUAUCUCUCUCACUCUCCCCUCCUCUCACAAACUCACAAACUCUCUCAAACUCACCCACACCAAAAAUCCCAAAACCUUCUCAAUUCUCACCCAAAUCAACUAGUUCUUGUUUCUAAACCAAGCUUUCGCCCCUGUAGCCUAUUCCUCACCACCCAUUCACCAUUUCCUUUCAUCCAGAGCAAGGUAUUGAGUUUUUAAAUUCAAAUUCGUAGGUCCAUGAACCCUAGAAUUUGAAAGUCGAAAUUUGGUCACUUUCUUGCUAGAUUGUGGUGAAAUAGACUAGGGAAAGUUUAUCUAUCAAGUUGGGUUGUUGAAUUAAUGGUGAAAUUGAGUUUAAUUUGCACUUUGGCAAAAUUAGGGUUCAUGGAAUUAGGGAUUUUCGAAUUUGACCUUAAUUGGGUGAGUUUGUGGGUGAACUAGAUGUGUUAAGGUGUUACAAGAGUGAGAAUUGUUGCAUUGUGUUGAACUUGAGUUUAAAUUGAUAAUUCAUUUGUUAAGUUCACUUUUGCAAUUUUCUCUUGCAAAAUCCUGUUUUUCUUUACUUCCAACUACUUAUCCCUUUUCAAGUUUUUACUUCUUCAGGUGAAAAUGGUUAAGAAGACAAAGGGAAAGUUGGAAGCUGAGAAGCAAGAAGCUGAAAGAACAGAGUUUGCAUUAAGAGGAAAAGCUUUAUCCUGCGAGCCAACUGGGUCAGGGACGCAGAGAACCGUUCGACAGCAGACUUUGGCUGCAAGGAAAUCGCAAGAACAAGAGAAGAGGGCUGGGAAAAGUGUAGCAGUUCCCACUCAUGAGGAGAGUGAAACUGAGAGUGCUGAUGAGCAGGCACCUACGAAGAAAGCCAAGAUGUCCAAAGGAAAAGGGGUUGCUGUUGAUCGAGACAGGGCAAAAACUCCAUCUGUGGAGGAGCUGUAUGAUCACUUGAAGAAUGGGUCACUUGGGCUCCAACCAGGUUCGCCGACCUCGAUUUGCUGAAGGAGUUGGGCCUAGAAUCCGAUAUUGAGGCGAUGCUGGGACAUUUGAAGAUGCCAAAACUCCUCACCAUGGCUUAUCCUUUCUACAAGGAUGUCACUUGUCAGUUCCUAUCCUCUCUUGUGGUCACUUACCACGACACGGCGCAUGUGAGGCAAGGAUGGGGAAAAAUCACGUUCAAGGUCAAUGGAAGGGAAUACAACAUGAACUUCAAGGACAUUGGGAGGGUCAUGGGGUUCCAAGACCUAGAAGACCACUCACUUCCCAAGUGUGAGAACCUCCCCACAGAGCUUUGGAAGUUGAUCACUGGAAACAGGCACUCUACCGGGGCUGACAAGAACUCACACAUCCGACACCCGUCUGUACGCUACCUCCACAGAUUGCUAGUCCAUGCUUUCUACCCACGGAAGCAAGCUGGUAAUGUUACUGAGGAAGACAUGCGACUGCUCUGUCCGGCUAUCCGUCCUUACGCUCAACCUGGAGUGUUACCCCUUCCCAGCACUGAUAUCUAUGCUACCUUUGGGAUGGUCAGUUUCUUUGUGGGCCGUCUCGAACACUACAGAGACUGGGCGUGGUACACCACUGAUUCGCGCCCAAAGAUGGGGAUAGGCGGAAUGAUCACACCACUGCUCCAAUUUCUGAAUGUUCCCUUGGGAAAGGACGCAGCGGGGCCUAGGUUCAUUGAUGGCACCUACUUGAGGAUUGCCACCUAUUUCAGUGGGAUGUAUGGGAAGGACUACGUCUACCACUACUACUUGCAGGGCAAGCCAGUCGAGGUGGUUCUUCCAAACCGGAACCUGACGAGUUUAGAGAUACCAGGAGCUGUCAGCUUCAACAUUCCCCAGGAGUACUUUCUCGGAGAACACGGGCCUCUCGAUCCAAUUCAAGCAGCUUCAUCAAGGAGAAGGAGUGUCCCUACGCAACCUGACCCGCCUGUUGCAGACACGUCUGAGCAUAUCUAUGGACCUCCGCGCUACUACUUCAAGCCCCAUGACGGAGUCCUUCCCCCUGGAGCUCUCCGUGAUGCUCAUGACCACAUUGGUCGUCUCCAGAGGUGGAACAAAGCUCAGGACAGAACGAUAGAAAAGCUGAAGGAUAAGUGCAAGGCGCUCAGCAAGACUGUGAAGAAGCAGGCAAAGACUUCAGCCAAGUUCAUGAAGAAAGUAGCUGAUGUCUUAACUAGGGGAGGAAUAGCUGGAUGUAGCUCAGCCGAUUUCGCUUUCGCGAACACCUCAAACCCCCAGCCCCCACCCCCGCCUGAUGCUCUUGGCUUCCCCCUCACUGCUGCGCAGCUUCAGCGUAAGUGGAGGAACCCACCCACUCAACCUUCCACUUCCGGCAACAAAUCCCCAUCCCUCGCUUCUUCUGACAGUGAGCACGAGAUUGACGAGGUUGAGAGCCAGCCAUGGUAUGGAGGCUCCGGUUCAGCAUCCGGUGGUUACUACACCACCUUCCCUCCUGACGACGACGAUGCUGGGGCAUCUGCCCCCACCUAUUAUCCAUAGGAGGUACUUCUUUCUCUCCCUUGUAUAUACCAUCUCAUUUUUUUUUUUUUGCAUAUUAGUUUUCUUCUCGGUAUCUCCUUCUUUCUUUGACAACACAGAGACUGUGUAACUCAAGUUUGGGGGAGGUACCAAGCAUUUGAUCACGUUUGCUUUGAUUGUGUUUCAUUUGAGUCAUGCAUUGCACACCUAUUUGCAUAAAAAAAAAAAAAAAAAAGAUUUUUCAUUUAGUUUGCAUCAUUUGCACCAUUAGGAGAGUCUAGAGCAUAUAGGGUGCAUUCACUUGCAUUGGGAGCAAUGAUUUUAAAUGCCUUGUAAAGAACACUACGUUGCACCAUUGAGUAGCCAUGCACCUCUCGAAAAGACUUGUAUGUUUCGAGCCUUGAAAACUCUUCUUGAAACUUGUUGAUUGCUGAAACUCAGUCUUUGAAGCCAACUACAACCUUAUUAGAAAUGAAUGAACUUAAUGCUUCUUGCUUAGGGUCCCUUGUGUACUGAGUCAUGGCUAUACACACUGGAGUUGUCACAUCUUUUAUGCCAAUCUUUUUGACAAACUCUAGUGGUAGACCACUCCCAAAACCUUUCCUUCCUUUUAAGCUUUCAUUGUUUGAUGAGUGAGGCCUUCUUCGGAAAGUCUUACAUGCGCAUAAUGUUGAGAGUAUCGGGAACGACAAUGCUUGAUCUUCAUUUUUGCUAGAUUGGACACUCUUUUGUCUAGCUAUAGGUGGGAGGGUGAGUGUUGUGAUCAUGAUUUGGGAGAAAUGAAAAAUAAAAAGGAUAGACUCUUUGUGCUUAAGUGAAUUGAUUUUCUGGGAUAAGUAGAGAACCUCUAGCUCUAGUUUCGAAAAGUCUUGGCCCCCAACCUAAAAAAAAAAAAAAAAAAAAAAAAAAAAAAAAAAAAAAAAAAAAAAAAAAAAAAAAAAAAAAAAAAAAAAAAAAAGGGGGCUAGCAAAGUUGUUAGGAGCUAAGAAAUGUUUUGAGGUUGUAGAAAAAUCCCUUGUAGAUUUCAAAAAGAAAGAGUUAAAGUUCUUAGGAUCUAUUGGUGAGAGAUGUGAGUUGGGUUUGACAUUUGGGAAUGAUUGUGUAAUUGUAUGUUUGGGAAAAGGGUAGAACAAUGGAGAUUGAGCAUUGUAUGCAUGAGUUGGUCCCUUUCUUAGAUAUAUUAUGUGCAAUGUCAAGGCUACUUGUUUUGAGAGUAAACCACCUUAAAGAUCAUAUGUUUUGAACCUCUUGAAUCACUUGAAUAAAAGCCUUCCCUUACCCAACCAAAUGACUUGGACCAACGGACCAUUUGCAAGAAUUCAC